AGCUGGACUCCUAUAAGCAGUGGUUCCAAUCUUAUAGUAGCAGUGCCAGUUUACAAGUCAGGAUAGGUGAUCUCAUUCUAUCAGUAGAACCAUUCAUUCUUAGAGACACAUAGCUCAUUCUGCUAUUAACAUGAAUAAGUCUUUCGAUGGUCGAUUGUCAUCGCUCUCAUUCAUCGAGGUGUCCACCACCGCACCCGUGGCACGGAAGAAACAAACACACCUAGAGCAGAGGACAUGCACUUUAAGUCAAAUAACGAAUUCAUUUAGGGGCUGGGCAACAAUAGAGCACGGUAGGUCCACACUCGUUCUUCAAUAAAGCACGGUAGGGAGGGACUGCCGCGUGAACUAAGGAAAUUCAUGGAUUCCUAUAAUCAAGAACUGCUGGAUCUGGAUCUGCUCGAGGAAAGCCAACUGAGUACACCUAUUCUUUUCUUUCAACUGCUGAAACACUAAGUUAAUAAGUUUGACCAUAUUAAUAAGAAGCCGAUCUAGCACAUCCAGAGAAUAGAGUCUUAUACAAGAGAUCUCAAUUCCAUUCUUUUGGUUGCCAUUACCAAGUAGUGCUUUAGUUGCUUGACUGAUAGCAAAGAUCUUCUUGCCCCAACUCGUAGUAUACUAAGGAUUCCACUAGAAAGAUGGUGUUAAAGCCAACAACUCUCAAUCCGGUCUUUCAAGCCAACAACUCUCUCCAGAUAUAUAAGUGGCACAGGACCCAGUUCUAGUUCUAGGAUAAGAAUACAGAUCUCGCAAGCAGGAGAAGAAUAGGAUAAGAAUACAGAUCUCACAAGCAGGAGAAGAAUCAGCUGUAUUGUCUCCAGGAAAGUACUAUCAAACAAAAGCAUAAGAGUAAGUUCAUAGGGUGUUAAAGCCUAAACCUAAAAAGAUGGUGGAGCAGGAUCUGAUGUCGAAGUCGUUGGUUCCUCACUUCCAAUUGACUAGCGGCCCUUUAGCUCGAACACAGGUUAACUCAGGUAAGGACACUGUUAUGACCGACUCGCAACUACGGAAGGUAUCAAACAGGUUAACAAUAGCUCCUACUCUUCAUCCCGUGAGUGCUUCCUUGAAAGUACCAGGUAAAGUGUUCGUAAACUACAUGUGGUUAGUGACUUUAUUCUUCUGGUAGUAUUGUUCUUGUUCUUGUUGAAUACCGAGUUUAGUUGCUUUUGGUGCUUCUUCAAGGAUAGUUUCAUCUUUAUUAGUUGAAAGAGUUAGAUUCGAUGCUCUAGUAUUGACUGGCAAGAACAGAACGGAUAGAGUUAGAUGAGCCGACCUCCCAACUUGCUUGUUUCAUUGAGUGCACUAUUAGUUGUUUCAUGAAAUACCUUAUCCGGGUAGUCUCGAAGAUUGCCAACACCGAACCUCUCCCGAUUGACAAGCACCCGAACUUGACUUUCUUUAUGAUUCUUCACCGACUACACUGUAAACUCUCCCUGCCGCCACUAAGUCUGUCUGGGCCGGCUCUCCUACUCAAGAUAAAGCUUCUUCAUUUCUUUCUUCUAUUGGGCAUGUGCCUGCUUAUGAUUGUUCGAUAGAUCCUACUGCUCGAACAGAACUGUCAACUACUUUCCCUGACGACUUAACCGAUUAAUUGGUUCUUCUCCCGUCGACAACACCCGACCCGACCUCUCCUAAGGCUACAAAUACACUUCUUAAACAGAAGCUUACCUCGAACAGGGGCAAGCAGACAAGUAGGCAAGUCGGACUGGAACAAGUCUUAAUUGAACUCAAAGCAAAGAUACAAGCGUAUACUAGAUGCGGGCCAAGUCACUAAGGGCCAAGUCACUACUCAUGUGUAGCGGCUGUAACAACAAGCUCUUUCACUCCUCCGCUAUACUAACUCUUUCACUCCUCCGAUGAGAAUACAUCUUCUUUUACUGUUUUCUUCUUUUACUGUUUUCUUCUUUCCUCUCCUCUUGCUACUGCUACUACUCCGGUAUUUCACUAACAAAGCGACUACUCCAGUGGGAGACAAUAUCUGAUCAUCGGGCCAAGUCACUCUGGUAUGAAUUCUCCGAGUCAAGUAAAGGCUUUGAAGCAUAAGAAGAAUAAGGUACUGUCAAACAAAAAGGCUUUGAAGCGCUACUAAGUGGUCCAACCAACCCCCAAGCAUGAAAGAAAGGCGAUUCUUCAACAGCAAGACUUCACUCCUUAUUGCCAGAACCUAGUUAUAUUUCUCACAAACCAUACCAUAGACUAUUUCUGGAAAGUAGACAAGUAAGAAGAAACAUACUACUGGAAAGAAUUCAAAGCGGUAAAGCAAGACUCAAAGGGGCUGUAGCCGAAGAGCAAAAGAGCGCCCACAAUUAGUGUAAGGAGUCUCAGUUGGGGAGUUAGGAGUCACGGACCUAGUUUGUAUUCGGGUAAUUAAAGACAGGAGUGUGGGCUGGAAUGAGUAUCUAUAAAAAAUGCAAAGGGAGUGCUAGAGCAAUAAGUCAGACUUCAGGGCAUUAGUUUCAGUUGAUGUGUUUCUGGCGGUAGGGGAGUGAACUCAGGUGUUGGUGAUUUUCUUUAUGCUGAUUCCUUUGUUCGAGUGUGAUUACGUGCACCACUGUUGGGUUAUCAGAGGCCUAUGCUCUGGUUUCAGUGGUUCUCAGAGUCCUAUGGCUAUGUUGUUUGUCUUGCUUUCCCUCAUUUCAUUAUUUAUUGUUCCAUCCUAUAUUUGGAGUGAAAAACAGCCUGUGGCGGUCCGGGCACUCUUUCAUCAUUCCCUUUCAUUCAUGCCCUGUCCUGUUUCAUUCUGAUUGUGAUUGGCGCAAACAAAAGCUCUACCUUUGCUGUAUUUGAAGGCUGUUUGCUCCGGUAAGAUGUCCAAUGCUUAUUCUUAUAUCUGAGUUUAGUGUGCCGGUGCUCGUUAAGUAUAAAGCAGAGUGCGUAUCAAUGUGGCUAGCAGAGUUCGUAUCAAGUAUAAAGCAGAGUUCAUAUCAAUGUGGUGGCUAGCAGAGUUCGUACCAAUGUAGGUAUAGGUACGGGCAACUGGGCAAGGUACGGGCAAACUGCCUAGUCUACCAAUUCCAAAAGCAGGUUGUUGAUACAAAAAGUGAAAUAGAACUAGUUGGUUUUUCGUCGGAUUCCCCUAAUCAAAUAGAAGAGAAUAUUAUAUGCAAUAACGUUUAGAUACAGGCUUUCAGCAAGGAGCUAAAGAAUUAGUUCAAAGCUAGGGUCUUGUUAGCUGCGGUUCGAUCCGAUAGUUAGUAGCAGCUUGGCGAGUUGAGCUCCUACGCUUACCGCUCUGAGUCCACUGCUUGGCAUAUUAAUAGAUGUUCAUAGAUGUGUUAGUCCCGUACUGUCCACACUAGCUCAAUUCUUUGGCUAUGUCUUUUCAUUCCCGGUUCACAAUUCCAUAGUUUCCAUUUUCAGCCUUGCUUUUUCUAUUGGAAUUCUUUCUUGUGUGUGGGGAGGGACAUUAUUAUUAUUAGAAGCCCGAGUUGCUGCCUUGUUUGUAGUAGUUCGAUCCCAAUCAGUUCCGGGUUUAGUUAGCAUCAGUAGGAUCGAGCCUUGGAAACAACAGUAAAAGCAUGAAAGCCAGUCAAGAGUUUUGGUUUAAAAGCAAGGAAAGUAAGGCGCGUAAGUAAAAGACUAUGUUUGUCCGUAGGGGCAUACUGAACCAAGAGAUAUUGUUUGAAAACUUGUAAGGUAAGCAUAAAAGAAAGUAGCGUGAGGCACAUAGGAAGUAGAGCCAGGUUCUAGUUUGAUAAGUGAGGAGAGCUACUCAAGAAUGAUAUCCGGCAAAGGCAUACUCAACAUGGGAAUGCAGGGGACAGGUCAAAGAAUGAGAGAGCAUAGUAUAAGUUUGAGCAAAAAGGUCGUUUUUUAGUUCAGUAGCGCUAGGCGAGAGAUACAAAUACAGAUAUGAGAUCGAGGAGUCAAAGAAUGAGAUAGGGCCCCGGCAUAGACAAACUCGGCAUUGAGGGCAUUAGCGGGAGUUUGGGAGCUGUUAUUAUCCUAAUUCUAAUUAGGGGACGCAUACUUUAAUACAGGAGUUUCGGAUUGAAGAGAAGGGUCAUAUUGUAGAUUAUUAGUUUCAUAGUAAGGCUUGUCUCUCAUACCAUGGCUUAGGCUUCUCUAGUAAUGAGCCCCAUUCUGAUCUCUUGUUACACGGUGCAUUCUUUGACUUUUGUAUUUCAUUCUGUAUUUCAAUUAUCUGCCUUUGUAGUAAUGACUUGGCCCCGGGAUUUGGAAUAGCAAUAAGAGAAAGAAUAUGAGCAGACAAGUGAACCUUAGCUACUAAGGAGGGGAAGGUAUCAACCUAAAGAUAUAAAGUAUCGGGUUGGUGCUCUAGUAGUUUCAUCAAAUUCCGGGUAGAGGUAUCGGUGCUGUAACUCCAAUCCAUUGCAGCAAGAAAGAUCAAUAAAGGGAUUGAUUGACCGGGUGCGGACUUGUGAACAGUGAGCAUAUAGGUAAUAAAGGCAUCAAAUAAAUAGGAAAAACUCGAGUAGGCGGCUGACCCUGGUCUUGUUCGAGGAAGAAUAAAGAAAAGGCGUAGCUGUUUCCGUUAGGGGAAUAAUCUAAUAUCUGACUUCCUUUGAAGCUCCAGUUACCGGUGUUACUUAUUGAAAAUCUGACUUGAUAGUUCUAUCUGUCUUUGUUGUCGACGAAGCAGUAAGUACUGAAUUAAGAAGGGGAGUUUCCGAGGUUAAUACCCAGAAGAAGAGGAUUGAUCUGCACACUAACAGGAAAGGGAGUUGGACAAACAAAUAAGAUUAUAGGCAUCUGUGUUCAGCAAGUAGUAAAUAUAGAAGUAGUUGCGGCGUAUACGCUUGGUUGUUUUACUCGGUGCUCGACUCAGUGUGUUAGUUAGUCUUAUGAGCAAGUCCAGUAAAGUUUUCACGGGUCGUAAAUUACCGAUCUCCUGUGGAUAGCUCCAUUUUCUUCUUUAGCGCUGUUCCUAGGAUAGCUCAAUGGUUUUUGAAUGACUUUCCGGGGUGUGCUGGGCGCCUAUGAUCUUAGUUUAGCAUCCGCAGUAAUUAGUAUCUAGAUCAUCUUCUGUUGCUUUAGUCGGCGAACUCACUAACGCUUUAUUUAUAUGUGUUCCUUUUUUCUGCUUGAACUUAUUAACGCUGCUUGCCUACUUGCUUUGCCUUUUUGGCCUGAUUUCCUGGACACUUUGUUGAUAAUGUCCCAACUUCAUAAGACUUCCGCGCUAACAUUAGCCAUAAGAUGAUUGAGGAGAGGUGUUCACGACCAGAGGUGUGUUUGUAUCUUAAUAAGUUCCCUAACUGGGGGCGCUUUAUAAGGCUUCUUUCCAAGUCAAGACAAUCUCUUUCUGGUUGUUUCACCUAUGCCUAUGUGUAACUCUGCUAGGGUGUGUAACCUUCUGCCUAUGUGUAUAACUCUGCUAAUGGCAAAUCCUCCAUUGAGUGAGGUAAAGUUAGGCUCAGAUAAUGCCUUUUGCCGUAUCUCUUAGCUUUGCUUCGAACUCGCUAACUUGCGCACUUGCUCAUUGCAAUUACUCUCAAAGACUUUCUGAUUUAUUGCUCUAAGCUUGUUUAUAGGCUUGUGUACUUGCUUUAAUCAAGCUUGUUUAUAGGCUUGUGUACUUGCCUUUAAUCAAAUAAUCUUUAUUGGCAGCCGAACCUCACUUAUUGCCUGGCCCCGAAGCACCCCAACCCCAAGAAGUCAGCUAACGCACAACUCAGCAGAACUCAACAAACUUGGGAAAACAACCGAGUAAAAGAGCUUACUAGCGCGAUACUAGUUCAAUUAAAAAGCCAAGCCGGUAAGAUUCAUAAGAAGGAAGGGGAAGCCAGUAAAGUCAGAUUCUUCAGAUAGAUUGAAGCCGGUAAUUAUAUAUGAGAUAUAAGUCAGUGUGUUAUCUUGGUGUUGGACUGUAAGCGCUAAGUCAGGAGCAUGGUGUAAAGGUUCUGUUCUAGUUUCAUCGACAAGAGAAUCAGUGGUCCAAAAAUAAGCAGCAGUGAGAGUUUAGGUCGGAAAAGGAAAAUCAGAUAAUACUGGCCGGGGCAGCAAGCGGGUCAGAAAGGAGAGUUCGACUCAAAUCCAUGUUAGUUGGCGACCGUUGAGAUCGAUUCAUAAAGUGUAGUUUCGUAUGAACUCCUACAGUUGCUCACAUAUGAACUCUUACUGUUGCUCACUUAAACAACACUUUCAACAAAUUCUUCUUCCAUUUCAAUCGAGACUCCUGGAAUUUCUUCUGUCCCCAACUCCACUUGAAGAGACCCGAACUCGUAUACUAGGCGAAGGCAAUCUGAUCUAGACUACAGGGCAAAGGCAAUCUUAUCUAGCUUUUGAUACUGAUCCAGCAUAUCAUCUUACUGAUGACGACUUUACCCCAACCUAUUCUUCACCCCCCGCAUCUUCCCUAUCUCCUAUUCCGGAGAAAACUCCUAAUUCUAUCUCCGACUCCGAUUACUAUUGCUUCUAUGGCUUCAGAUUCAUCAUACUAUGUAGAUAAAUGAUUCCUUCUUUCCUUUGCGCCUAGUAGACUACUGGAUUAUUUGUUAGCACCUUAUUUGCUAUUAUUAUUAAUAUUAUUUGUAUACUACCUAAUGCACUAGAUGACGUACCUGCUUUAGAUAGGGUAAUGCACCAUCUAGUACCAGCUUAUGUCCUUACUUGGAGUUCCAUUCCGUAUGUGGAGAGUUUUCUUCUGACUUUCAUCUAAGAGCACGAGGGUACGGGUGGUUACCUACUUAUACAGGGUUAGGUGGGUGAGUGACUUCUUUCUAUCAUACCUAUAGCCAGAGCAGCGGAACAAGACCAAUUUAGUUGCAGUAGAUCCAGUAGUCUCAUUUCGUUUUAGCUAGUUUCAUCCCGCCACGCAGUACAGCUUUCGAUCAAGCUUCUUAUCUUUCUACUGCAUCUUUCAACUCUUUCGUCACUGGAUUUUGGAACAGAAACGGAAUUAACAAGCACGCGGCCCCUGUUGAUUCUCGAGUGUACUUAACAAGCACUAGACCCACACUUCUAGUUAGCGCAGAAAAACGAAUUGACACAACACCACCACUCAAUGGUUCAUCUGAUCUAUCUUUUGAAACGGAUCCAGCCUUUUCAUCAGAUCUUUCAACUUCUCCUUAUUCUUUGAAAUAAGUCAGAAUUGACUCUCCUUGAAGAAUCGAUUCCUCGUAUGCUCCAUCUUUAGCUUCGGAUCCAAAUGGGGCUGAUGAUCUCUCUCUCGUUGACAACACUGUCACACCCGAACUACACUUUUUGUGCAGAAUGGAAUUGAACAACUUCAGUUAGCGCCUUACCUUAGCCAAAGACUGGAAUUGACCUUAGAGAAACUCCACUCUUUUUGCUUAUCUUUCUAAGAAGAAAACGGAUUCUCGUGGAGACUUGACUCGAGCAGGAAAUCCAUCUACAUCAUAUACUUGAGUACUUACCGCUUCAAAGCCAAUACCAGAGAUCCUUAUUCUGGACCUGCAUCCGAUCCAACUCAUUCUUUGGAAUCUUAUUCGGCUCUUGCCCCAGAACUAGACUUGACUCGCACCGCUACAGCUGAAGAAGUAGUUUACCCAGCUUCCGCCCCAAAGUCCACUUUCCUUUCCACUUGCUAUGGUUCGGUUCCUUGAUAAAGAAAGCAGAUUCUCUCAACUCAACUGAAACUGUAAUUGAAUCUAUAUCUCUUGCAUAGUAUAGAAUUGGAGUAAACAAACGACUUCUCUUUGGCUUCUUUUACAUAUUACUUGACUGCGGGAUCUGACCUAACUGCCGAACACAUAAAUUGAGGAUGAAGACAGGAAUUGUAAUAACAGGACUUGUAGGAAGCCCGCCAAGUCAGUACUAGACAAUUGAACUACUUAGACUUGAGACCCGUUUUCUGUAAGGAGGUAGAAUAGUUCCUGUACUAUCCAAUUUAUACAACAGUUGGCUUAUGUGCUAUGUCUAGCGGAUGGUGAAUCCUACGUGCUAUGUCUAGCGGAUGGUGAAUGCUACCUGGAUUUUCUUGCUUCCCUUUCCCUUCAACCAACCACUAUCUGAGUUCCCUAAAUAUAAAUAGAAUAUCUAGAAUCCAGAAGACUGCCCCUUAUCACAGAAGUCGAUAGUCCUUGCUUGUAUCGGUCAUUAUUAUAUGAGAAAAGUAGAUAUAUGAUAACAAAGGAAAAAGAUGAUCAAAUCAAUAAACAAAAACCAGAAGGCCCUAUAUAUUAAUUAAGGCUGUUUAAGGAUGUGUCUAUUUCAUUUCGAUUAUCUGAAAGAAUCCGUUUUUAUAGUCAUAUAGAUUGUAGUGGAUCCAUAAAUAAAAGCUUCCAGAAAGUGCUAUACCUACCCUAUAUUGUUUUAGGUAUUAAACUCGAUCCCUAACUCUCUAGCAGCACAGAUGGGGUCGAUCUCACCCUUGCUUCACCACGCCCGGAGGCUAAGUCUAGUUUCAUAAGGUUAAGAUGGAUACCGCUCAUAAAGAGCUUGUUUAAGUGUCCCGUAUGCCUUGCAAUAAUCCCUUGCCCCUUGAUUUCUACAAUACUUGAUGUGACUUGAAACUUGUGAUACGAGACUGCUUCUCUUGCGCAUCUACAACAAGGUAGAGUUGGGCGCCUGUGUUCGGUCAACAAAUAGUUCAAUUAAUCUAUAUCGCAUAUAGUGAAAGAAUAUAGCUAGAAUAAUAUAGAAUCCAAUAACAACAUUCCUUAUUGCUGACUAAGGAGAAGGACUCCUAGCUUGAAGAACUCAUAUUGGCCCCAACAAGCAACUGUGCUAACGUGAGUGGAGUUAAGAAAGCCUAAGUACGUUAGUUAGGUCGAAGAGAAUGUUUGUUUGCCGUUACUAGUUCCCCUUGCUUCAAGAAUAGAGGAAUCCCUGGAAAGUCUUUGAAUGGAGGAUAGGAUUGAUGUCGUAAAGUCUUUGAAUAGAGGAAAGGAUUGAUGUCGGCACCCCAAGUGUACUACGGCUUGUUGAAUUGAGGAAUAUCAUAGAGUGCACAAACAAAUAGAGGCGCAUAACUGCAUUGCUUUCUUACCGGAUGGAGCAUAACAUAACUGCUUCCUCUAUUCCGCUAAAAGAGCAUAACAUGACUGCUUCCUCUAUUCUGCCUUAGGAAGGCUACCCUAUUUCAUUGAACUGACAACAACAUAUGAGAGAUAACUGAACGGAAUAUGCAUGACAACUAGUGGAAAUGCUCUAAAACUGCUAUUACUACAAAACGGACUAUCCCUGCAGGCUUUGCUUAUAGUGGAAAUGCUCUAAAACUGCUAUUACUACAAAACAGACUAUCCCUGCUUGCUUACCCAUCGGAUUCUGUCACUAAGGCACUCAGGCUUGCAAUCUACCCGCUACCCGCUGCUUUAAUCAUGGAAUCUAUAUCGCAUAUAAUCUAAGGAACCUAAGAACUACUUGCAUAGCUUUAUUGAAAACUCAUGUAAGCACCCGCAUGUUUACAUGUUGAAUGGAAUCUAUCUCGCACAUGAUAGAAGAUGGGUAACCUAACGCAUAACUCCAAACGUUUAAGGCUGUAACUCGUAUUCAAUACUUAGCGCUUCAUAAGGUUGUUUAAGGCUGUAACUCGUAUUUCUGGUCGUUUAAGUUGAACCUCUUAUGAACUCCGCUUAUAGGCUUAUCUAUAUCAUUGAAACUAUGCUUCUCUCCCUCUCAGUCACCGAUGGAAUUUCAAGCACAAUUCUACCGAUUUCAUUUCAAGCACAAUUCGAAUAUCAUUGGGUCUCAUUGAAUCUCACUUGCAUAAAGGAAAAUCACUCGCUUCAUAUAGAUCAAAAGUCACCCUUUUACUGCUGACUCACUUAAGAAAAGAAAGGGGGUGAAGAACUCCUAGCUGACGCCUAAACAAAGGACUUGUCUUUUGCAAAAAAACAGAUAAUGAGAAUUUCCCUUUGCCCUCUUAGUUAUUAGAAUUAUGUCUUUCCUUAGUGCUAUAAGUAGUAGGACAAUUCUGACUCCUUCUUUCUUUGCUCUAUUACUCAUAUACGGACUCUUUCUUCUUUAGCUCUAUUACUCAUACAAUUAUUCUCAUAUGAUAUGCGCCUAUGACUCUUGUAUAAAUUAUGUCUUUCCUAUGCGCUAUUAGUAUUGAUUCGAUUCUGUCUUUUGCAGUAUAGAAUGUACUCGCCUGGAGCUCCCCUAACUUAGCUUAUUAUUCGUUUAGUAUAAACCUUACAAAACUUCUGACUUUCGGAUUGUGAAUUGAGUGGCAAAGUGGAAUUGAGUGCUACAAAAGAAUGGAAUGGAAUAUGACUGACACCAUAUAUCAGAAUAGUAACAAGACAGCUUACUCCUGACUCCAAUAGCAUUAGCAACUUACUCCUGACUCCAAUAGCAUUAGCAAUUAUUAGGGCAUUAAGAAUGGAGUGCCAAAGAGACAUAAGAGAAUGGAGUAACAACACACCUAUACCUAUUAGGCUAUGCUCUAACAACUGACUUUCCUUAUUAUGGAUCUACUGCGUUUUCCUACUUUUUGACACUGUUAGGUUUUAUUACUUGUUGUUUCCUUUCUACUACUUACUGGCUACAGACUUUAUUGGAUUGAGCCUCCGUAUAGAAACCCUAAAUUCCAUACAAUAUAUAUUAUAUCCAUUUUGGAUGAGAGAAAGAGAACGACCAGAACCAGUAAGUCGACAGUCGUUGCUUGGCCCUUGCAUGGACAGCGACCACCUCUUUUCUUUACUUUUUUGAAAAUCUCUUCUCUCUAUAUAAGGGAUGUAUGUAUUCUCGAUAAGAGAGGAGCCGUGGUGGUAUGCAUCUCAGGACCGAGACCGUGCUACUGGACUGUCUUACUGGGUUGGCGACUCUCUGCGCUCCCAAUGACAGUAUUGGAUGAAGCACUGGAAAGAGAAGAGGACAGGGCUACAAUGACGGAUGAUACUGUUCCUUCACCCAGGGAAUGAAUGGGGCUUCGCUCUCUAAAGAUAGAGUUGAGAGUUUUUGCUUCCUGCCUUACUGAUUAAAAGAGACAAGAUCCGAUUCCUUCUGCCUAUUCAUUCACAGCGUAUGAAGUAAUAACAUUGUACAAUUGUAGGAACCUUCCCAGUUUUUGGCUAACCCUCCCUAAAGGCCUGAGCGAAUGCAGAGUAGAAAAGACGCAGGGUUCUACCACUUUGUAAGGUAAGUACUAAGUGAAUAGUUUCGGUCUAUACAGACGGGUCUAUGUGCGAAAAUGGAAUUUCGUCUUUCUAGCGCUAAGCAUAUAAUAUUGAUUGCCUGGGAUAACGAGCAUAAGAGCGUAAGGGCAAUUAUCGUAUCUCGAAAUAGGCUAGUUUGGGGUUUCCCCUUUCUUUGUUAAUCCUUUGUUUCAGAAAGCGCUUGUAUACGGGUAUAGCAGUAAUAGGACUUUAACCCAAUAGGAUAGGGCAAGUUCUUUUAGAAAGCAAGAGGGCGAUACGAGGUCAGAGUUUGAAGUCCAAUUCCCUAAAUAUCAAGUGAUUCAAUAAAAACAAGCACAAGCCUUAUUAACUAACAAAGUGGUAAAGUGUUAGGCAUUUCCAUUUCAGUAAAGCUAGCCAGUCAAAAGGAGUAUUUCAUGAAAGAAAAUGGGCAAGUAAGAGAGGGAUUCUCUACAAAAAGGCUCUAAGAUUGUAGGUCAAACAAAAAGAGGUCAGUCAUAGGGCAAAUGAAAUCUAUCCAGUGAAAACCCAAACCCUAAAAGAAUCUGGUCUAUCCCCGACAAUCCUAGUUCUUCGCCCUGUUAAGCUAUCUCUUGCAGCUACUGUUUCCGUUUCUUUCGAUGGGGACAGUUCCAGGAAAGUAGAAGUUCUGUUCUAAUGCCUUCCAGGAAGAGUGGGGUUUUUCUAGUUCAAGUGUCGUUUUCAAAUAAGUAGCAUAAAAGAGAUCCCUUGACGAAAAGUAAUAAGGGGCCACGGCUAUAUAUACAUAAAGCUUAGGAUAGCGGAUUCUUGGUUCUAGGUCAAUCAAAGGUGUUAGAGCGAGCUAAGGUCUUCUCCUCCAAUCGAAGUAAUAAAGCCAGUUCCUUGUCAAGUCAGUUAAAGAAGUGAAAUCCAUCCGACUUGAAAGUCAUGGUAUAAAGGUUAAGGGCUGCAAGCGGGUCUUCAAGAAUAGGUAGGGUUUACAGUGGGUAAGUCGGUUCUUCAAGUGUAGUUUAGUUUGGCCCUUAUAGUCCGUUUGGUUUACUUGAAGUUUCAUCUGUCUUUGUUGCUCGUGUCUAAGUAAUAAAUCUCUGUUCGACUUGACUCCCAUGUAUAAGCAGAAGAUCAUCUCGAAUCGAAUGCUGAGGUAAAGUCUCCUGGAAUAGAAUACAGAUCAGAAGCUGGGUCAAUAGCUGGAUAUUUCUCUUCAACAGGAUAUUUCUCUUCAACAGGAUCUGAUGCCGAAGCCAAAUCGAUAGAUUCCAUUACAGUUUCGCUUGGUUGAUGCAAGAAAGAUUACUGUUUGCCAGAGCAAGAACGAACAAGAACAAGAUCUACAGUAGGAACAGGAUAUGAAGCUAGAUUAGAUGCGGGAUCUUAAGCCGGAACAGUCCAUUCUUAUGCUGACCUGACCUAUCCUACUGUCCAACUAAUGAAUUGACGCCUAUAAUCUGUGCUUUCUGGUUCCCUUGCUUGCUCUCUACCACUUAAAUAGAAGCCUUACUCCUGACUUGACUCACCCCUAGCCUAGUUAGAAUAGAAGAUUGAUGUCGGCACCCGCAUAACUCCCGAAGGCUUAAGAUUUGAGUCUAGUGGAUCUGCAUUCCGUCAAAGAAUUCACAGACGCCCAAUUACUUAAGGGCACCGAUGAAGACCCGGAGACUGACUUGCGGAAUUCUUAUCCUCUGUUUUAUACCUUACCUUCUGUAGAUAUAGUAGUUCCCCUUCCCUUCUUAUUAGGGCACCCAGGAAACCCGGAAAAGACCUAUACUGAAUGGAACUGGCACCAAUGCAAUAUAUCUAAUGGGUUCGGGACCUGUCAUUAUCUGUAUUUAUUGUAGAAUUCUUAUACUAUAUUCAUUCUCUUAGGAAUGACUUACUAAUUCUUUUAAAUAAGAAGAGAGUUGACUUGCCGUGUCUUCUGUCUUAUUCCUAUCCGGAGUAUGCCCUUAACCCAGCUUCCUCACCCGAUCUUGCUUCUAUUCCUGCCUCCGAUCCCAUGAACACAGGACUAGUUGAACUCAGGCUAAUCUACCUAUGGCUACUGGCAACAAUGCAUUUCAACCUGCUGUCCGAUCCUAUAACUUCAUUAAGAUUGGCUGUGGAAUCAGUCAUCCUAUAUAAUAACAGAGAUUUUGAUAGUGCUUUUUUGCUACUUAACUAGUACUGAGUUAGUAUAGGCAAAAUGCAAGAACAACUAGCGGCCCUGCCGCGUCAGCGAGCGCAUAACUCGGAGCUCCUCCGCGACACCGAACACAUCUGGAGUAAUAACAACAAAUAAAUAUACCUGAUGUUGUUUCUUAUUGCCAAAACAACUGCCGCGUCUUUAGCUCGCUGACGCGACAGCGGACUAUUAACUGACGCGUAACAUUAGUAGUUACUUGUCCCGUAACAACUGGCGCACAACUACUCCUAAUGUCGUAGUUGCUUGCCGUCUUGUCUAGUAGUUCCUUGGCCCGAGUUCCUUGGCCCAAGCCAAGGUCAGAAACAGAAGCCUACCCGACCCGACCUAUCUUUAUUACACUCCUCAACCCGCUUCUAAGCCAACAAAUACUGAUGAAACCAGACCACUACUUGAGGACGAAGCAACUUAUUGCUACGAAUACUGAAUUGAUCCAUCUUGCCUAGCACAACUUACUAGAAGGGCUUCUAAUAAGCAAAGCACCCGACCCUACCUCUCUUUAUGACACUUGCCUCUCCUCUUUCUCAUCUCUUAUAUAAGAUAAGACUUAUGGCUCAUCUCCACUAGCAGCUGGCAACCAUCCUAUGCCAACUAUUGGAAUUCUCCUCUUUCUUGCCGAAAGAGACUCAAGCUUACCUCGAACAGGACUACCAGGGGCGGACAACUACCUUAUCUUUAGGAGCAAAGGAAUACAGAAACAGACAAAGUAGAAGAACAGAACCCAGAUUGAGAGAGAGAAGCAAAAGUCAUUAAAGGAAGAAAACCCGCAACAGGCAACUCGUAUAACUCUCAAGAACACAGGACAGGCAAGAUAGGGGCAUGGAUCUAUUUCAGCACUUAUUGAGUUUGAUGGGCAAAUCAUAAGAAGUGUCGUUAGAGUUCAUUGACGCCUAUAAGAUUGAUGGUUCAGUGACUUAACUCAUUAGUAUAGGAGUUUUCUCAGUGGAAAAGUAUUGUUUCGGUUGCAAGUACUUUUCUUGUAAGUAGUGAGGCAAAGCUACUACUGGAGCAAGAGCAAGAAAUCAGAAUGGAUGGAAUUAGCGGCCCUUAUAUUAAGUCGGUAUCGGAUAUCAGAGUUUAGGUAAGUCCAGUAGUAGAGUUGUUUCAUCAGUAUGAGUUGACUCCGGUAGAGGAGAAAGAGUUAUGGUAUUGUUUCCAGAGUUAUAGAAUCAGAAUUAAGGUAUAGUUGGCAUAGGUAGAUGAGAUGCUCUAGUCCAGAGGCUUUGAAGCAGAGCCAGAGAAGAGCCAGCAGCUUGUUGAAAUCAGUAUUAGUUGAGAGAUAUUCCAUUCCCUGACCUGUUGGACUACUGUACUACUACAGGUUGGUGCUGUAAACGGGCUGUAAACCGGGCUGUAAACCAGAGUAUAGGUUUAGAGGAUUUACUAUAGUAUUGGUACAGGAGUGAAGGAGGUAUGUUAACUGCUUACAUUAAACCCCUAUGGCUCAUGAUUCUCUUUAGUGAAUUCCUCCUGACUGAGAGGGGACAUCUGAGUUGACAUUGAAGAGGAGAGUUCGGAUAGCCCUUACUGUUAAGAGUUUAGUUAGGAAGUAAAGCAUUCAGGUCAAUUCUGAUAGGGUUUCUUACUAGGUUAUACUACAGUAGUUGCUUGUUUUAGCCUAGGAGAUACCUUUUCAUCUUUAAUAACUGAAUGAGGCUAAUCUACUUAUGCUCUGAACCAACCUAGCUAGGGCUAUGAAAACUCAGAAUUCCACACUACGAGUUUCCUUACUACUUGUCUGCUUGGCCCUUAAUCAAGUUAUAUAGAUUUGAUUAUACUUUGUCUGUAGAGCGUCAGUAUUGGGGAAAGAUCAGUCAAAACAUUAGCGGCCCUUUAGUGACACCUGUGUUCGCCUCCUCGGCUAAUUCUCUAGUUUUGUCAAUCAACUGCCCUUUCUUCUCCAGUAAUUAGUUAACCUUACCUUCCCGAAACACCUCUACUUUGGCACCAUGUAUAGAAGUGAGUUACCCAACUGCUUUAUAUCUCACUUAUGUUUCUUAUCCUGUACCCGCUCCCCUAGUUCUAAUGUAUCUAAUGCGCUAGAUCUCUUACCUGCUUAAGUGGUUUUCUACCUUACUACUAAGCUUGUCGUCUUGUCUUCUUGUCGUCUUGUCUAUCUGUUGCUUAGCCCCGAGUUUCAUCGUAUCUAUAGGCAGUAUCAAGUAGGGAAGCAGUUUAGUAAGAAGUAGAGGCCAGGCCAAAUGAGAUGGUAUUUCCUUAGAAGAGGGAGAGAUCUAGUCCUGAUUAGUUUACAGUUGCCCUGGUUGAAUCCGUAUUUAUUGCCAUAGGAGAGGCCGGGGCAGUAGAAAAAGAAGAAACAGUAGACUUGGAUCUUAAAGCUAACUAUCCCUUUGAAACACUCCCAAUCAAUCAGCGAGUAGGAGAAUCAACCAUAUACUUAUUCAAGAAGGAAAUCAAGUGUAGUAGUUUGAGAAGCAAAAGAGAAGGAUAAGGAUUAAGAAAAAGAAAAGAAGUUGUUUCAAGAGCAGUUGAGGAAGAAAGAAGUUGUUUCAAGAGCAGUUGAGGAAGAAAGACCAUAAGCCGGGGAAGACCUUCCGAUAAGAAUAGAGUCCCCCGGUAUUCUAUAUUCGUUGCUUACGUAGCUAGGCUUGGCCCUUUUUCAUGGCUGAUUCUCGAGUAAAUGACUUUAUGCUUCUAUUCCCACUCGUACAUUUAUAGCCCGGUCAACUCUAUCUGCCUUGAUAGUAGUAGUCGCUUGCCUGGUGAAAUGAACUGAUUGAUUGUAUUUACUUAUCCAAAAUCUAUAUUACCAAGUCCAGAACAAGUAUGCUUCCAAUGUUACUAAAAUGCAGAUGUUACUGAAGAAGUAGCCCUUAAGUAAUUGGGAAAGUGUUUCGGAAGGGACUCUCUAUCUGGUGUUCUUGUUGAGGGUGCAAGGAAAGCAGUCCGCUGUGGGAGUUUCAUCCAAAGAACCACUUUCAUUCUCUCUAAUAUAAGCUUAUAUAAUAGACUAGACUUUUGUACACCUCGCCUCUACGCGCAUUCAAAGAAAUAGUAGAAGAUAGAAUACUUGGAAUCCACUGCUGCUAUAGUUGUCGAUGAGUCUACUUAUGGUCCAGGAAACCAACCCGUAGUACUGUUAUGGUUCUUGAGUCCUGUGCCCUUAAUUACUGCUCACUCUCCACUCCAUUCUUGAUUUCAAUACCACCGGGUAGUCAACGCUUAGCUACCGCCGCAACAAGUAAAUCUUUGACUCCGCGCCUUAGCAACUAGGCAAUCUGCCCUGCCCCAACUCACAUUUAAGUGAAAAGAGAAACCCGAAUAAAGCACUUGGAUCUCUUCCUAGUUCAACUAACCAACCCUCGCAACUUCACUUGAACUGUCAACCUGAACCUACCUCUAUGUAGUCAACAGCAAAGAAUUCAUUACUUUACUAGUGCAUUGACGCCUACUAAUUGAAUUACCUGGAAACAGUGACCAAUUCGAAUCUCCCUCUAGAAUAAGUUUAGUAAAACUCUGAUCCUUAAAGCUCUGAUCCUUAAGUAGUAGUCCAGGCAACUACUGUAUUAGUAGCGAGUAGCGAGUUAAAGAAGCAGUAGCUCCACUCUUGUUAGUAGUGAUUUUUAUCUGAUCAGAGUAGAAGACCAGUACUGUAUUUGUAUGAUAAGUAUGAAUUCAAGUAGUACCCGUACCCUUUAGUGGAAUGAUUUGAGUUCUUCACCGACAACACUAGCACUUAAGUCAGGGUCUGUCCUGUAUGAAGUAAAGUAAACAAACCCUUGCUUGGCGGUUAUCCAUUGCAUCUACCUCUGGCAACUGUCAACACCUCUUUCUUCUUAACCUGUCCUGUAGACUAAACUAUCACUGCUGUUUCCUCUCGCACUCCUUCUUCUACUUCUUCUAUAGUUGACUUUCUUCGCACAGCUAAAUCUUUUGUAUAGUUGACUUUAUUGACCACCCCAGACAGGUUCUCAAUAGUCUAGGCACCAUCCCUUGUUGCAAGAUGAGAGAGAGAUUAUAGUCCUGCUCUUUUUUGCCCUUAAGUCAAUUGCUGUAAGUACGGAGUUUAUCCUAUUGGGGCUGUGGUUUCAUACGGAGUUUAUCCUAUUGGGCGUGGAUGUCUAGUAUGGAUAGGGUUGUGGAAUAAAAGGAGAGGCGAGGCCGGGGCAGAAGAAAUUAAGGACCGAAGAUAGCUUGCUCUGCUCCUCUUUUAGUCUCUAUAAGAUAGCUUGCUCUGCUCCUCUUUUAGUCCAUAUAUCUCAUUUGUUACUUCCCCUUGCUCUUCUUACAGUCCAUAGAAUUGGGCUUUCAGCACCUUGCCCUUGCUCCUCUUUGAGUUCAUAUAAUAGGUUACUGACCCUUGCUUUAAGAAUGGAGGCAGAUGGAUCCUCUACGAUGGCACCAUGAUCUUAGUUGUUACUUCUUAUCUCUCUUUCUACACAGUCCAUAUAAAGGCUUUCAGCGCCUUACGACGCUUUCUCUUCUUACAGUCCAUAUAAGAGGCUUUCAGCACCUUGCUCCUCUUUUAGUCCAUAUAUCCAAAGUGACUUACCCGGACUUAGCUUAUAGUCUCUAUCUAAUUUGUUACUAACCCUUACUGGUGCUGAUGGGAAAUCUAUCAAGGAAUGAAAGGGCAAAAAGUGGGAGAAUCUUGGAUCUUGGAGAACUAUGAGUGGAAAGAGAACUAGCUCGAUCCGGAACUUCUUCUUAUUAUAUAUCCAAAGUAGGGUACGCUCUUAAUAAGAUUCGGGAAAGCCUUAGCCUUGGACUCUAUCCUCUUGAUAAGCCUUAUUGUCCUUAACUAUGCUCUUCGAGACGAGACCGUAGAUUACUUUCCGGAGAAGAGUUUGAACACUUUGCCUUCCUCCCCUAACUAUGUGAAUCCAGGUGUAUGAUUAAUGGAAAGACCUUGGAUUCUCUAGGGUAACCAUCAUGAAAGAAGGCAUUCUAAGACGUUGAUAUAGAGUUGAGGCUAUCUUUUCUUGGCUGCAAUGGAAAGGAGAAGUCGAACCAACCUCUGGAAUCUUUCCGGACCUUCCUUAUAGUCAUUUGUAAUAUAGUAAUUAGUAAUUCGCUAACUCACACAACUGUGAAACUCCAUUAAGCGUUAACCCCGAACUCAAUGGCACCCACUCCUAAUAAAGUAAAGAUGUUUAUUACCUUGCGUAGCUUGCAAGAAUGAAGUACUCUUGUCUAUGGUUCGAGUCACUGAGCUAGUAGAAGCUUAGAGAAAACGGUGCUUUACUUCAAUUCUAUUCCUGAGAGUCAUAAGGAAGGGGUCUGGGUGUUAGAGAUGCAAAAGUCAGUAAAGUCUCCUUAUUGAGUUUUGUCCUAGGUCUGACUUCUUUGCCCAUCUUUCCAGGAAAAUGAACCCUAGCUGCCCAAAUAUGUAUUUCACCUUUCAUUCGUUAGCUCCACUCUAGGGCUUUUACUCGGAACUGAUCAGAAGGAGCUACUUAGGGAAUCGAGCUCAGCAGUAACUGAGGGGGGAACACAUGAAUAAGGCUACUUAUCUGCAAUAGCGCAUAUAGGAAUCAAAUCAAUAAGUAAGGAUGCCUGCCCACACUACUAUACCAAUAGAGCCCGUAUAAGACCAAAACACUACAAUAAAGAGUUGAACUAGCAGCUAUCAGAUUGAACUACUACCUUCUCAUAAUGAAAACAGAGCUACUAAAGAACUCGACUCGGAACAGGUGCGCCGGAUGCUUCUAUGGCUUCAACAAGCAACGUAGAAUUAAACCCCUACUUUACAACUAGGAAUCCCAGAGGUAAAGGCAGACUUGAACCGGAAACUAGGACUCGGCAUCAAACGGCAUAAAACAUAGGACUCGACAUAAAGAACCAAACUCGGAACUAGUAAUUGAACUACUUACUUCUAAAUAAGGCUUUUACUCGCUACUGAUCAGAAAGAGCUACAGUCCACAUACCCAUUGUUAGCAUUCGUACACAAUUCUGAGUAUCUUGACUUUCUUUAUUGGUGGAAUUCUUUAUUCUGAUAUUCUUGAUUUCUGGUUUUGAUCAUUGAUUGUUUUUUCUUCCAAUAUUGGUGUCUUGGCUGUUCUUUUCUCAUUUCUUGGAUUACAAUACCCUAGCCCGACCCUAACAGAUAGAUCGUAGUGAUGCGGUCACCACCCAUACAAGUAAGUAAACUAGCCCGACCCUAACAGGAUGGUACUCUCUUUUGACUACCUAAGUAAGUAAACUAAGUAAGUCAACCACCCGACCUAGUAAAGGAAUUCCACUCGUCAACUACUGGCAAAGAAUUCCACUAUCAACUCAGAGCCAAGCGUAUACUACAACUACUACUAUACAAGUUUCACUCCUUACUCAGGUACGGGCUUUCUCUCUAGCUUUCUCUCUUUUCCUUAUAUAUGAGAUUGUUAACGCUUCAUUCUUUAUAUGAUAAUUGCUUAAGGCUUAAUGUUACUAUUGCCUUAGGAUUCUGCUUCCUCUUAUGGGCCUGUUGCCUUCUCUGCUCUUAUUUUAUUCCCAAUUUGUUCCUACUCCGGAUAUGGAAAAAGCUUCUUUUCUCUCUAUUUACUACUUGCUUAACACUAGGGUUAUCAAACUCCCUUAGCGCAGAAGCGUGAAUCAACGACAAGCAACCUCUAGCCUACCCAUAGUGCUCUCAACUCUCAAGUUCUAAUUUCACUAACAGGUUACCUCGACUCUGGCUCUUUUCACUCAGCUGACAUACCACACUGGUGCAGUGCAGAUCCUUUGACAACAACUAUCACAAGAACAGGACUACCGGGAUGAAGACUAGAACUUAACUCGGACAGGAUCGGUAUGCUACUAUAACUCCCGUCUCAUCUACCGGGGAGUCAACUAAUACAGAUUCAAGCAGUCCCUUUCCUAUCCGUUCACCUAUAUAAGAACAGAUAGAAUUAUCUACUAUUUUUCCCUACGCCAAGACACUACUAAUGUGGCGCGGCAGCCGCCAAGCAACUACUAACGACCAAGCAACGGCGCGCCAAGUAACUACUAAUGUUACGCGGCAGCAAAUGACAGUCAUAACGGCCAAGCAACGGCGCAAGACGUUGUACGGCAGGAGCUAUAGCUAAGUUCUGUCUUCGUAGAUGCUCUCGGCGGUAGCAACAGGCAAGCAACUACUAACGACCGCCAAGACACUACUAACGUGGCGCGGCAGUGAGUUUUAGGCGGCGCAAGACGUUGGGCGGUAGCCAAGGUAAUAGAUAUGACAAGUUAUUACAAUAGAUGUUUUUGGGGCCGCUUCCUAUAAUUCCUCUUCGAGUUAUAACAAUAGAUGUUUUUGGGGCCGCUCCACUCUUUUUAUUACAAUCUAUGUUUAAACCCUACUGUGUCCAUACUGAGUGAGUAUAUGAGAAAUAUGAGUCGUUUUUCUACAGAAUGAAGUGAUUAUGCAAAUGUUAAGUCAACUCACAACUCCUGGGCUAUCCGAACUCGCCUCAAAGCCGAUACUUUCUUCUUUUCUUUAUAAUAGAAUAUAAUAAGUGGACGAAUCCAGCUAAUGAUUCUUUUCUUUCUUUCCCUUUUGAAAGUCAAGUGAACUUUCCUCGCCCAGCUUCCUUACCUGCUUCCUUAAUAGAUGAAACAAUAGAUUGCACUCGCCAAGCAACGUAGACAAAGGCACAGCUAUGGACCAACUUCUUCCUCAGUAGUUAGAAAUACUAAUUAAUAGAGACCUAUUGCACUCCCUUACCGCUUUUCAAUUGAAUUAAAGAAUAGAGUUCAACUUGGCAGGGUAGAAACAUCAGAAUGAUCCAGGCCCGGUAUAAAGCAGUAUAAAGCAAGAUCAUAGUCAAGUAAGAAUUCAAUUCGACUUGAUCCAAUAGAGUCAGAACACCUUGUCAUAGAGAGCUAAGCCUCUUAUUCUCUAACUGCUGUUCAUUCUAUUCCUGCGAGUAGUGAGCGAAAGGGGUUUACAGCUUUGUUUCCAGCCUCAACAAGUAGUAGUCGGCGUAAGGGACAGGAUCAGUUCUCUGGAAUCAGUUAUCUAUCUGUUAUAAGAAAGAAUGAAAGUGGGAAUGUUUUAAACACCAAUCAACCACUUCGGACAGGACAGGUUUUGACUGUUUCUCUACCUCGGACAGGACAGGCGAAUACAGGUUACAAACACAGGACUUUGGUAAGAAACUAAAGAAUUCGCUCUAUCUCCAACUACAGGCUAGGCUCUGUCAACUAAUUCCAGCCACGCUAAAGCAUCAUCUGCACCCGACCUCGACUCUAGCUUACAAAUCAAGUUAUUGCUCUCAUCGCAUCUACCGGAGUCAACAAAAACGGAUUCUAUAGGACUUACUACAACUGGGCUGCUACUACUAGCAACCCGACUGACUACUUAAAGAAUCAACCCAGCUUCUUUUCUUUAAGAUAACGAUAGGGCUUGGCUUGGUAAUACUUAACGCUUCCUUCAGUGGACAAAGGAUUCUUCGAUUGUAAACUCUUAACGCUACGCUUGAAUUCAAUUGAAAUUGAAACACCGUAAGCAUAGUGGUGAGUAAAGUCAACUAAUACUAUAUUUCCAUCUUUCUACUCUCUUGCCCCGAGGAGAACAGUCAUUGAAUAUCUAUCUUUUGCAUAUAUACCAUGAGAAUGUCAUCAAGCAGAAACUCAGUUAGCGGCUCACUUACCCUCAUGCGCAGAAAGAAAUAGAACAGAAACUCCAUAUCUUAGGAAUGCACCUUAACCUUUAGAGGAUUGAUCCGGGCUAAGGGAGUUUAGAGUGUCAAUUCCUGGAGGUGACAUGUAAGAUUCCACAUAAGAUGAGUUUCCCGCGACUAGAGCCGAGUUUAGAUACCACAGCACAGGACUUACGGGGUAGGGCCAGGAAUAGAUUCGAGUGCAAAGAGAGGACUUGAUUGAACUGAUGCCACUUCACUGUAAACAAAGAAUGAAUUGGAAUCUGUCACUGCAUGCUAUCAAAAUCGGAAUGGAAGAUAGACCCUUCCAAAUGUGAUUGUGUUGAGCCCGCCUAUCAAUCCGUUGUUCAAGCCUUAACCGAGUAGAAAAGCGAAUCUGUCUUUGGCGCAAGAACAAGUGCCAAUGAAAUAAGUCCCCCAGAGGCCCUUUUUAAGGAGUUUAGUUCAGUUCGCCAAUUGUUCGUUCAAGUCUUGUAUCGAAAAUAUUGUCAUUAGAGAAUUAGAGGAAGAAAGAGUAGCAAUUCCUAUUAGAUAUGGCACAUCGGUAACAGUACACAAUUCCACUUCAACAGGGCGCUCAAAAGAAAAGAUUAAUCGAAGGCCGGCACAAGAUUCCUGUCCGACAAGCAACAGAGUUAGGCCAAGCAACUCACACUUUCUUUAUUACUUGCUAUGUGCUAGGGAGAAAGAGUUCAAAGAGCAUUAAGUUGAAGGCGGUGCCCUUACCGAGUCCUGUCUUUAGCUUACGUAAGAGUGAGUUUCAAGUCCUGUGUUUACCUGUCUUUCGGGAGUACUUUAUUAAGGGUUAGCAAGAAGGAGGUCAAUCUUUCUAGACAAAAAGCACUAUAGGGACAUUUCCGGAGGCUUAAUGGUCUAUUUCCCAUCAAACUAUUAGAAACCUUAGAAACAAGGCCAAUACAGCAAGCAGCUACUAGGCUUCUUAACCGACGCUCCCUUGCCUAUACAGCAUUUCUUUGAUUUAUUAUUUCUUUUCUUUAAGUGAAACCUUAGGGAUGGAUCCAGUGGGCCAUAAUACAUAGGCUUCCGCAUUCCCUUACUUAAUAGCAAUUGAGAUAGCAAUGAAUACUAUAGCCAUUAAUACUAUGUGCAAUUAGGUAUGAUCUAGUGCAUUAGGUACAUAGAAUGAUAUGUCUUUACUCGAUUCUAUUAGAGUGGAAGUUAGCUAACAAUAAGAAUGAAUACACGGGCCCUAAUACGUAAUAGCUAGCGCAUUCUAAGAUAUAGUAAGAGUGACUUAAAACAUAUGUAUUUUCUUGUAUAGUUACAAGAGGAGAGGAAAGAAAGAAUGGAGGAAAGAAACACAGAAUUCCAGUGCUCUUCGAAAGAAAGAAAUACAGAAAGAAGGAAAUAAAGAGAUGUUGCUAAGGUUGCUAGCUCGAAGUCCGCUACUGAAUGAAAGAAUUCCACUAGCCCAGCAGACUCCUACGGAAGGUAUCAAACGGUAGUGGAUAACUGUGCCUCUUGCCUAUGUCCUCCGCGGUAACUAUAUAAAUGACUAUUCAUUACUCAACAAAGCAAGAUCGGGUGAUGAAGCCACAGAAUACAGAUCUUUACCCGAACCGAGUAGUUAAUGGCUUAACCGAGUCGCGGGAAUCUCUUAGGGGCCACCCUAUAGUCUAGUGCUCUGAACCAACCCAGUACUCUUUCUUAACCACUUUCAUUCUAUCUUAGAACUGGAACAGAACCACUUGGUUCGGACCUCUAUCUCUUGCAAAUCAAUACUCCAUUCCUGACACUCAAUACUCAAUUCCUGGCACUGCUUCUAAAUAGGAUGAUCCUAGAACUUGACCUUGAACUUCACCUUUCCACUGUGGAGCUGGCUCUCUCUAGAUUAGACACUUGUCCCCCGACUAGGUAUGAUAGAAGGCUAUCCCUUAUUCAUAAGAACUACAGCCUAUGCGUUAGUGAGUUAAGCGAGUGAGAGGGGUGUCUGAUCUCGUUAGCCAUAGAAUGCCCUGUUCCAGUGAAGGGCCAAGCUAAUACUGGUAUCAAGAUCAACCAACUACUGGCAAGGAAGCACUAACAGAGUCAAAAGAGCAUAAGUGGAAGUCGAGUGUGAGUUUAAGACCGGUCCCUUAGUUACUGGUAUUGAGUUUCAUUCUUUCACUACUGGAUCGGUAGGCUUACUGUGUCUGAUGCUUGACUGUUUGAUUCUUUGACUAGCUUCUUCAAUUCUGAAAUUCCCCACUUGCCGACGACGUUCCAUUCCUUUAUUGACUAGCUGCCCCCUGGCUCUUAUUCUUUGACUCCCCGGCUCCCGAACACAUAGUCAGUGGGCUAGCGUAUACUAGAUGCGGGCCAAGUCGACAACUAAGUUGAUUCUGUGACUCCUUAGCUCCCUAGUAAUGAACUCCUCUGGCUCAUAUACCUUAAUUCUGAUCCUCCGUUUUCUCUUCUCUUCUCUUCUUGCCCAACUCGUAUACUAGGAGAUACAGCAUCAACACCCUAAACCAGACUUUCAAACUACACUCCCCUUUCCUUACUUUUCAUCUACAGCUGGAUCUGCUCGUAACAAACCCAACUCGAGAGCUAAACAAAGUCAGUAUAUUCUAUCAUACCAGGCUAGUUUCUUAGUUUCAAUGAGAGAAAAGGAUAAGAAUGAAUUUCUACCGGACAGCUUAGUCGGAUAAAGAGCCAAGCGUAUACUACUUGCACCCUUUACUCCAGUCAAACUCUGAUCUUCAACUUCGAACCAACCGGCGGGCUAUUAGGUUUUAGUAUGAAUUCCACUCUAAAGUAGGCAAGCAGACAACUAGCAACUCUCAACUCUACUUUCUACUUUCCCUCGACCUGGAAAUCUAUCUACUUUCGGGAUGAAACUAGGGAUAAAACAAAUAAGCUAAUCCUGAUCUAGCUUCUGCUGACUUGAGAACUGCUUCCCCGGCUUCCUCUAUUUAUUCGAAAGAAUGCAUUUUACUGUAAUCUUAUCUUAUCGACUUUCCUUGCACUGAGGAAUAGUCUCCAUUCUUAGCUAACAGUGAAUGUAGUUAACAGACUUUAUAAUGAGUUAUUCCAGAGUCCUUAUUAGAGUUAUUCCAAAGAGUCCUUAUUAAUAGUGGCAGCCAAGUGUCUCCUGUGACUUCUUAGCCUUACAAAGGAAUGUUUUGAACUGCUCCCCGGUAGACAGGACUACUACUUAUGGUUAUCGUACACUAGCCUCGCCUCUUGCUCUUGAAACUAACCACUCCUUAAAUGAAGUAUGUAGUUGGAUACCUUCCUGCUCCUGUUAUGAGGAAGUCCUGUAUCUAGAAGUCUUCACCCUUCACGGAUAGGUCGGGGCAGAAGCAUAAGAUAGUAUAGGCUUAGUUGGUAGGUCAGGGCUAAGAUCAGUAUGACUCUUCUCUUCUCAGGGCUAAAGAAGGGGAGCUCCUCUUCAGAUGGAGAAGAUGUUGUGAGAGUUUCGGUUGCUUCUAAUUAUUGGAAUUGCCUGUUGGAGAGGGUUAAGGUGAAACAACAUAUUUCUUUACAAAGAGAUCCAUACUGGUUGGUGGUUUAUAAGACGAGAAUUGCCUUAUUGUGGCGAUGUCGCUCGUAGCUCCCAGUAGUCAAGUUUCGUUCAGAGCUCCCCCCAAAAGGAGUUGUGACACCUAGGACACCAGGAAGAUUAGUGAAGUUUUCAGCGUCAGUGUCAGCGUAAGGCAGAGUUUACAGUGUUGACGAUGAGAGAGGAGUUUUCACCAGAAGAUAAGGAUCACCCUAUGGGCUAGGAAAGUAUGAAGGUGUUCGCGCAAGGUAAGGAAACAAACUGAAAGAAACAAGCAAGGCGCUAACACUCAAACUGAAUAGAAUUACAGCUGACAAGCGCCUUAAUCGAUUAACGGAUUCUUCUCGGCUUCUAUAUAUGCUCAUGCUCUUUGCCCUUACUUUAUACUUUACCUCAGCAUGAGAUUAGCAUUCCGCUUAUGGAACAAGACUGGAAAGAACCAAUUGUUAUACUUGCUGCUGAUUCAUUAUCUGGUCUCGACUUGAAUUGAAUUGCAUUGCUUAUACUUCGGAUUACUUUAGCACCCAACCCGAAAGAGCGUCUGCAUCUGCACUAUAGGGCUAAUCGGGAAAACACAGAUAAAGUCAUUAGUUUGCCCGCUGAAGAUCGAGUAGGAAGAGAGAAGAAAGACGAGAAGUAAUAAGUGAAGUAAACAAGCAAGAGAAUCAAAAGAAUCAUUAUUCUAGCGAGGUACUGUACAACAGGCGGACUAUCUGCACCGGCUAACUCAACUCUACUUGAAACAACUGGAGACUUUCGAAGAACUGAGGAUUCCGUUGAUACAACUUCAUCGGGAGCAUCUUAUCCUGCGGAUGAUCUUGUUCCUACUUAAGAUCCUUCUUAGGAAGACUGACUUUCAACAACACCUUUCCUGACCGCGGAGCUUGAUGGUUCAUCUGCUGCGUCUUACGCUUAAGCGCUAAGAUCUGAUUCUGGGUGACUCGGUGCAAGUAAGGUAGUAUCAAGAAAAGAAUCGAACUAUCCCUAUAUUCUGAAAGCAAAAGUCCUAAGGUUAAUUACCAAGUAAGGUAUUCGGGUGUUCGUGGCGCAACUAAACGAAAAAUAUAAGUUAAGCGCGUUAGCGAGUUCUGCCCACUACACGGUGGAAAGUAGGAGUGAGCUCAAAAGGAGACUAUACUACCAUAGCCUCUUGCUACUAUACCUCUUAUCCUAUACCUAGGAGUCCAGUCCCAACAGAAGCUCCACAGUAGAAAGGUUAAGUUAAAGGAAAGUAUCCAAGAGAAGAAAGAGAAGAGUUAUUGUUUUCAGAGCCAUAGCUCCGGUAGAAGAGCAAGAAAGCAGAUAACUUGAUUAGUUGGAUAGAGGAGAGCCAGUAGUUGUAGAGAGGAGAGUUUAGAGUGGAAAGAGAACCAGUUGACCGGGCAUGGCAGUAGGAAGUGUACGAGUUGGCCUUGCAUCGUUGCUUGGUCUGUAGUAGGAGCUUAUUAGUUCCUUGGCGGAUAGCAAAUAGAGACUUCAAGUUGAGAGGUCGGUUCGGGUGCUAGGAAAGCUGUCUGCAGGGAGAGUUUCAUCCCGAGUUUAGUCUUCCAGGGCAGUUAAGUAAGGAAAGGAAUAGGAUGGAUUAGAAUCAUAAUUAGAAGAAAAGAACUGUUAGCUGAUAAAGACAGGUUCACUCAGGACAGGGUCGGUCGAGUGCUUGUGUAAGGAUUCUGUGGCAUUAGAGAUAGAGAUUGGUAACCAACCUGGAGUGAAAGGCUUAACCGAAGAGGUCGGCUCGGGAAGCUAUGAAAGGAGUUGGCUAAAGUCUAGUCCAAGUAGUGCUGUUAAGGAGGGUCGGCGUAUAGUAGAGAAUUGCAUGCUCCUGUCGAGAUCUAUCCCUAUUCUUCUAUUGUCGAGAUCUACCCCUAUUCCUCUAUUAAUUACUUCAAGAUCCAUCCCUAUUCUUCUAUUAAUUACUAUAUAUGCUAGUUGGGUUAAUCUAUAUAUGCUAGUUGGGUGAAUAGCAGCAAUAGAUGUGGGUGCCUAGCCUUUUAGGGGGUAGUGGACAGUGAAAGAAGCUAGAUCAGGAGAAUCACCUGUGAAAGUUUCCCCUGCAGAGUAGCGGUAAGUGUGAUAAGAAUUAGAAUGAAUAGGGGAAUAGUGGUAAGUGAGUUCCUGUGUUCGCCACCUAUUCCCAGCAAAGCGGGUACUAGUAAAGAAUGGAGCUAAGUAGACUCAGACUUAUGCUAGUGCCACUGAUUCCCUGCGGCUAGAGUAUGGACUCGGAAUAGAACUAAGUAGCCAAACUCAGUAGCCAGGAGAGGAGAAAGAGUUCAAAGAGGAAGUAGAGUUCCCAUAGAAGAAGGAAGAUCAGAGGCAAGGUCAGCUGUGGAAUCUGUAUUUGUAGCCUGAGCAUUCCUAUGAUUUUAAGUGAAUCAGUAUCCGAUCCAGCUGUUGGAGAUGGAGCUAUUGAUUCUUUUUCUUAAACUAGUAUACGAGUAGUUCAGUUUCAUUCAGUAUUAGUAGUGGUAGAGAGGUCGGGUACUUGGUUGGAAAGAAAGAAAGUAGUACAGUAGUAAGCCCCUAUUAUUAAGUCUUACCCGCACUGAUUCCCCAUAUAUAGUACUUGUUUCAUUCACCAAGCAACAUAGUAAGUUGCGCGGUAGCGAGCUUUUACUGAGUGGAAUUCUUAGCUAACUUACCACAAUUCUUAUUGUCUGCCGAUGCAAAUAGUUAAGUGGCACAGGACGUAGUUCUGUUAUCUUAUCCUCCUUUACAUCUCUCUUGACCAUCUUUCUGAACUCUGGAAACUCCUCUUUCUCCUUUUCUAUAUUAAGUAAUAGAACUAUGAGUUUCUCCUUUUCUAUCCUAAGUAAGAGAACUAUGAGUUGGAAUUGAAGAAUGGAACUAAGGAGUUACAGGCUUAACUGAACCCCUACUUCAGACUGAAACAAGUGAGUCCAAGGCUUAAAGCCGGUAGUCAAAGAACCCAAUCAGGGAGUGAUAGGCUUCAACCGGUACUAACAAGACUGAUACCGACACCGAGCAGACCUCAACCAGUGCAUCUAAGGCUUAAACGAGGUAGUGGCAAGCUAUCCGACCCGAGUGACAGACUGAACCAAGGGAUCGGCAGGCUGGUGUUUAGCAUAGUAAGACUCCAACCAGUGCAUCUUAGGCUAUAACCACUGCAGCUAAGGCUUCAACGAGGUAGCUCGGGUCUCUAACAAGUAACUACAGGACUGAUACUUAGCAUAGGCAGACUGAAAGCAGUGAAUCCGAGACUUAAAGCAGUGCUUCUAAGACUUCAGCUAGUAACAAUCAGAACGGAGCUAGUGCAUCCAAGACUUCAAUCCGAGCUAACAAGAAUGCAACUCGGUCGUUCAAGCCUGAUAUCGGUGCCACUGAGAAUGGAGCUGACCGGUGCAAGACUGUUGCUAUUGCUGGUAAGACUUCAACUCAGUAGCCAAACUCAGUAGCCAGAGAAGAGGAGAAAGAAUAUAGAUAUCAGGUAUCAGCUUUGAAGCAGAAGAAACUAGUUCAGGAUCGGAGUGGGAUCGGAGCUCUUCUGUUCUGGUACUAGGCUAAUUGACUGACUUGGCGGGUAGGGUGUAAUCCUAGAGGUCGGGAAUUGUCUUAGAGAAUGAAGCUGUUAAUCGAUUAAGACUAAAGUAAGCAGUCGAGGCACUAGAAUUGACCGCCUCGCAAACUAGAAUACUAUACUGAUUGACUUAUUGCUCGUACGAGUAUGGGCCUGAUCAUCCUGUUCUGAAAACUUAUAAUACUUCAAAGAAAGCCACCUAUAGGUUAUUCUGACUCAAAUCUCAAGUACGCAGCGGAAUUGUCUGUUCUUGUUUCAUCUUAUAAAGAAGCAGGGACAGAAAGAGUACACGCAACUAGAAGUGGAUAAUUGCCAGUUACAGUUCUAUGGUUUACAGCCCAAACUAGUAGAAAUGCCUGUGUUUGACUUUCAUCUGUCUUUGUUGCUAGCUGGGUAAGCCAGGGAAGCUGUGAUGCCCUAGUAGUAAUAUAAGAAUUCCACUCACUGGUAGUAAGAUCCGAGUGAAACUAAGAGGUGAGCUAGUGGUCCUGUUGCAUCUCAAGUAGUAGUCCAGGAAUUCCUACCUUUAGUACAGGAGCCGAGCCAGGAGUUUAUGAGUUUAAUCCCAAACUAGUAGCAGCCCAGUAGUAGCAGCACUUUAGUAGUAGUCCAGCCCUUAUGUUAAUGGUGAGAGUUUCGGUUUCAUCUGUAUUUGUAGUUGUAGCUAGAGGAUAGAUAGUCAAGGGAAGAAAGAGAACCGUAGUGCUAGUCUAGUUCACGGGCUCCUUAGCUAGUGUUCGGCUACUAUACCUCUUGUUCUUUAGUCAAACUAUCCUAGACAUUUCUUAGAGCUAGUCCUAUUGUUGCUUCAGAUGCCAAAUCCCUACUUUAGAGUUUCCAUUCGGACUUUCCAAUUAAGAGCACGCACGAAGUGUUAAAAAGAUCUAUUAUACCUGGCUAAUUCUCCUCUAGCUAAUCAAACUCGGGAUUACACAUGAAUAAGUCUCUCUGGGGCGCAUUUCUCGGCUUGGAGUGGCGAGUAUCAGAUUCGUACUAGCAGCAAUAAGAGUUUAACUUGGAAUGGAUAAUAUGGGUAUGAUCUAAAGCUCCGUAAUAGUAAUAUCAUAAUAGUAAUUGAUCUAAUAAAUAAUGGGUUUCAAAGUCAAGUAAUAGAAGGCCAAAGCCAGAGUCGAGUUGGGGUAAGAAGAAGAUAGUCGUCCAGUCCUGUUUAAUCAUCUAGUCCUGUUUUCUCAGUAGUAGUUAGUUGACAGAGGUGAGCUAGUAGGAAAGGAAGAAUCAAACUCAGCAGACUAAGAACCAAACCAGUAAAUCACAGAAUGCAACUCAGCAGUAUAAGAAUGGGACUCAUCGGUGAGCUAGUAGGAGCCUAAGAAGAAAACCGGGGAGUCCUAGAACGAAACAGGGGAGUAGUCCAGUUGGUAAGUAAACUAUAUUCUUAAAGGAAAGAGAACGGGUUGGAAGGAAAGAGAAGAGAGCCGAAUGAAGUGAAGUUAAUAGUAGCCAGAGUUCAGAGUGAUAGGAGCCCAUUCAAAAAGAAGAAGUUUCAGGGGAUUCCAAUCAGAUGGAUAAGGUAAGUGAGCAAGUGAAGGAGCUGUUUCAGCAGUAGGAGCAGUUCCUGUUAGGUCUUAGAGAUCUGAAGCUCCAUAUAUAAGUGUUGAGUAAGCCCGAAGCCCUUAAGUUAAUGUACUAGGCUCGGAUAGGCUUAAGUUCUUGUGUGAAGCAAGUAGUCAAUUGUUGCAUCAAUCCUAGGGUAGGGGAAAAGGAGGUCAAUACUUAUGCUAUGUGUUUUGGAGCCAAGCAGAUGCAAGCGGUAAGUGAAUAAGUAUCGUCUCUUUGAGGGCGAGUUGAGUCGGCGAGAUCAUAAGCGGUGCGCUUACGGGGAGUUUUCAAUUUCAAUGGAAUUCUUUGUUUACUCAUAGCAAGAUAAGAGUUUCACUCCAAUAGUGCUUAUCCUUAUUUCAAGGUAAAAGAGAAAUCAGGGUAUCCAUAAACCUGUUCUGAAAUCGAAGUUGGAGUUAAUGAUGUUUCUGUACUCCACUCAAAAGGGCUAAGGUAGGUCUGCCUUUAAGUACUAGAUUCUUUUAUUCCAUGAGACAAGUGAGCUCCGUUAGCGAGUUGUGCGAAGGAUGCUUCUGAUCCGGGCAUCUGAUCUCGUAGACUAGGUAGGAGGCGGGACAAGAUAAGAUGUGUAGUUACCAACAAGAGCGGAGGUAGACUUCAUGGAUGAAACUAAUUAGUAUACGCUUGGCUCUUUCGAAACUCAAUCCUUAAGAAGAUAGGGCUCUGGACUACUCCGACUACUCUACAGGUUGGGCAAGGGAGACAAAGACAGGACUUCCCUCUUUCUCAACUAAAUCCUUACUAAGAACAGAUAGAAUUGAGCUAGUUAAACUCAGACUGAAACCACUACCACUGAUUCCCAGCUACUGGGGAAGAGUAAUCAGAAACAACCUAGGUAGUUUAAGAACGAAACUCAGGAGUAACAGACCAAAUGGAAGAAUUGAACAGUGAUAGAGAUGAUCAGAAUUCCACUCAGUAGUAACAGAAUUAAUAUCGAACACUUGACUUGGUAAUAAAGGAAGGAACCAGAAAUCCUAUAGGAAGAAAUGAACUCUAAGGACAGUUUCUUAGUUGAAUGGUCAAUCCUUCGAAAACCAUCUGGCGAUGCGAAAUAAGACAUUGAAAGCCUAUAAAACAUAGGAGCAAGAUCAGAGGGAUAGUAGUCAAGAGCCAGAGUCGAGGAAGUAUUAGUUGACAUAGGUAAGAGAAGAGGUCGGUUCAGAAUCAAUUCUAUGCUUUGUUGCGAGGUGUGAGCGAAUAAAGUAAUUAAAUAAGAGAGUUUCAUCCGAUAUGGAAGCAGUUAGGUCAGAAGUAGAGGCCAGGCUACUUAGUUUCAUUCUCAUAGGGGUGCGAGUUAGGUCUAUUCAAUAAUUCGCUGUUAUUGGAAAGUGUACCAGAUCAUCAGCCGGGGAGAUCUUCAUCCAAAAGGCAAGGCUCUGAAAGAGAAUCAGCAUCAUCAAUUAGUUAUUAAAGUAGAGCAAGAGUAGAGGCAUAAGCACUAACUGGGAGACAAGGGUGCAAGACAAGAGAUGGAUUCCCUGGUUGCUAGAUGAGCCGGAGUAUUGUUUGUUAGUAAAGAGAAGAGAUGGCCCCUUAUAUACUAGUGAACAGGACAGAGCAAUAGGCAUAGGAUAAGAAUUCUGGUAUCAAAUGAACAGGAGUGGUCAGCAGGAGUAGUUAGUUGACAGAGCCUAGCCUGUAGUUGGUGAGAGGGGAGCCAGAGGUCUAGGAUAUCUUAGUUUAGGUAAGUCCAGUAGUAGCUUGGCCGCCUAAGCUUGGUGCGCAACAUUAGUCGUUGCUUGGUGACUCCGACUGAGGCAUCUAACAACCAGGCUUCAAUCAGUGCAUCUAAGGCUUCACCCAGGCAGUGAUAGAAUGAAACUCCGUAGUCAAAGUAUCGGUCGGCAAGGGAAGCUAAGCUGUGAAGUAAGAAGGAGCCCCGGUGCAUUCAUAAGAUAUAUAGUGGUAGCUCAAUUAACUGUAUUAGUAGCAAAGCCAGAGGAGAGGUGUUGUAGAGUAGCCCUGUGUUCGGGUCCUGUUUCAUCUGUUAUCCUACUUGAUGUGUAAGGGUGGAAUCUGUUCUCCUAUCUAUAUAAGAUAGUAGUGGUCCAAGUCGUCUUUAUUAGGCUAGUGGUCCAAAGAGUAGAUCAACUCGCACAACUAAUACUGAAUCAAACAAAUUAGUCAAAGAAUUAAUAUAGCUCAAGCCAGAAUGAAGUUACUAAGGAGCCAGCAAGCUCAGCGGGAAGUUACGUUUCUUAAGUGAACAACUGUAGUUGGGAGUUCAAAGAUAAUUGCCCAGUUGGAGUUCCAGUACCUGAGUUGGAGUUCCAGUACCUGAUCUAUUAACCCCAAACAAGUAGUGGUUGAGAGAUAGGUGAUUCCUUUCUUGGCUCUCCGUCCGUAUAGGAGUGAGCGGUAUCAAGGGCUAAAGUCAGCAACAAGCGGUAAGGUCGUUUACAGUGAAAGUUCAUUCUAUGCAUAAGGGUCAGGUCAGUGAGCAACAGGUGGAUAACAAUCAGUUCAAUUAGCUUCACCGUUUUCCUCAGCGCUGGAAAGAUCUGUGUAUUUGUGUUUGACCACUUCAUAAUUGUCAGGUAAAGUUACAGAAUGAUUUGUUGACUUAAGAUCCACUGGUGCCGCGUACGUGCUCCUUCUUGACUUUGGUAGGGUGGUGGACUGACUUUGUGAAUGAAGUUACUAGGGUCGGUCGGGUGUGAGUGAAAAGAGACUAGCCCUUAUAGUAAGUGGAAGAAGAAAGUAUCGGCUUUGAGUCUAGGUGAGAGUCGAGUAGUUCUGUUCGAGGUAAAGUUUCAUCAGUAGUUGUUGCUUUGCUUACGUAGCUGGGUGUUAGAGAUCCCAAAGCUGCUUCUAAGACAAGUAAGUAUCUAAGACAAGUAAGUAUAUGACUAAGAAUUUACCUAAGUAGUCUUUAACUCCUACCGCGUAACAUUAGUAGUUACUUGGUGCAUCUAGUACAUAAGAAUAAGAUCUAGUUUCAAAGGUAUGUCCAUAAGUAGGAAUUCCAGAAUGGAACGGCGUAGUCAAAUAACCGGUCUUCUAACUAAGGGAUCCGAUGUCACUACUAAUACAAGGGAGCGGUCCAGGAGCUAUAAACAGGUAUAUACGAAAAAAGCACUAAAACAGAACUUCUUUUGUGUUGAUGGCAAAUUACCUAUCAUCAGAUCUUACCCGUGCAAGAAAUGCAUUUGGAGUGUAUUAAACCAGGUCCGUUGCUUGACGGGCAUAGUUUCUGGUCUCUGUCGUUUUAUACCUUACCUUCUUUCUGGCUCUAGUAGUUGUUAGUUGGGUAGGGGUGUCAUGUAAUAGAUGUGGGUCCAUAGUAUUGGUGCCUAGUCAAGUGGGGGUGCCUCGCCUUUGGGGAUCUAUCGAAUCAAUCUAUUAGGUCUGGGCUAUUAGGGAUGCGGUGGUUGACUUAUUCUAGUGGAAUUCGCCAGUCCUGUUUGGUCGUGUAACAUCUAUUGGGGAGGAAAGAUAGGAGACAUACAUGCGGGUAGUUGUUGCAUUCUAUUACAAGGGUAGGGUGCUUGUGUUAAGCAAGUAGUAAAUCGAUAACCUCAGUCCGCAUGUCCCAUACUACAUUCUAGAUUAUCUUUAUAUAGGUGAACGGAUGAAACUCUUAAUUCCAGUACUAGGGACUGACUUUGUUUACUUGCUUGUUAGGGUAGUCCUGUUCGAGUGGAAUCAGUGAGUGUCUUGGCGGCUCGGGUAGUUGUUGAAGUCAGUGACUAGGGUUGUUAAUGAAGUUACUAGUUAUUCAGUCAGUUGCUAGGGUUGAGUAAGCCCCGAAGUCAGGAGUAAUAAACCCGAAGUUAGUAGUUAGUAGGAAGCCCUAAGCCCUAAGUUAGAAGUAAGCCCACCGAUUCCCUGAUGCUAUAGUAGUUACUUGGCCCUGUUGCGGCGUACUUCAAGUUGAGUUUUCUUGGCUUUCCCUAAGUUAGGGCUUCUGUAGCUUUCGAUCCAACCCUUCCCUUGCUUUAAGAUUGUGAAUAGAGUGUACCACAGCUUGAAGAUAAGAAACGGAAUCAUGAACUAGGUAUGAUAGAUAUUCCAUUGGUAACCAACCCGACCUAAACUAUACUUUAUUAACCUCUCUCGUAUGAUUGACGACGCGCUUGCUGGUUUAUCUUAUUAGAAUCCUACUUCUUCUCGUUGCUUCUGCUCCAUCUUUGGCUGAUGAUCCUAAUUCGUAACCUGCAGAUUAUAGAUACUAAACCUAUCCUUAAGGGUAUCUCGUAACAUUGAAAGAAACAAGCUAACCACCGAAUCUAGCAUUUAUAGAAAGAAGUAACUUAACCUCAUUCCUUGUUGAAAACUCAUUCCUUGUUUAAACCUCACUGCUUGUUUAUUUUAGUGCUAAAGAGGAGAGGAGAAUUGAGGCAAAAUAUCAAUGAGUGCAAUAAUCUCCUAUCAGCACAGCACCUAGGAACAGCGCUAAAGAAAAGAAUGACACUGACAAAGGGUAAGGCGCAAGUAAGAGAGUCGAAAGUCAGCUCCAUGGUAGCCUAAUGCAAUCGAAAGGUUUCUUGCAAGCUUUCAGUUAAGGGUAUACGAGUUCGGGGAAUCAUAAAGUCUUGGUGGAGCACAGGGAAGGGCAGACUAUCUCACAGGCGUUGAAACGUGAUCCACUGAAGUGGAGUGGAAUUGUAUUAAGAGUGCCUAGAUGGAAGCAUCAUAAGGAUAAGAUGACGCAGCAAAUAGUUCUGCUCCGGUUGCUAACUUAUAUUUGUGUUGGUUAUGAAGAAUGUCCGGAUUGUCCCGCUCUGCUUACCGCUGAAAACAUCUACGAAGACAGGACUUGGCCAUACUCAAUUAUAUCUCUUCUUAUUAAGGAUUUAGUUGAGAAAGAGAGAAGCCCUUUGCCCCUGUUCGAGGUAAGUUAGAGUCUAGGUCUGCAAGGGAAGAAAGAUUAUCUGCUUCAUCUGGGCUUGGCUGUUGUAAGAGUAGAGGUCUGCUUGGGAAGAACAGAAUCCAGUGACUAUGACAAAUCUGUCGCAUCUAGGGCAACUCCGUAGUGAAAGUUGGAAUUGAACUCCGUUAGUUAGCUCUCCAUUCUCAUUCUUAUACCAGAUAGUAUUGGUUUCAUUCAGUGACUUACUAUGUGGGGUAGGCUUUUGACUUACUUGUUUGAUUCCUUCAAUUGACUAGCGGCAGGAGCCCGUUGAAAUCCAGUACUCUCCAUCUGGUCUUCAACUCUGAUAUAACUAUAUUAACAUUAACUACGCGGUCUUCUUCUCUGAUAUUCCUACUUAUUCCAGGUCCUCGUAUAUGUCUUUUCUCCCAUUAGUUUCAUCAAUACAACAUCCUAGGUAAAGAACUCNNNNNNNNNNNNNNNNNNNNNNNNNNNNNNNNNNNNNNNNNNNNNNNNNNNNNNNNNNNNNNNNNNNNNNNNNNNNNNNNNNNNNNNNNNNNNNNNNNNNNNNNNNNNNNNNNNNNNNNNNNNNNNNNNNNNNNNNNNNNNNNNNNNNNNNNNNNNNNNNNNNNNNNNNNNNNNNNNNNNNNNNNNNNNNNNNNNNNNNNNNNNNNNNNNNNNNNNNNNNNNNNNNNNNNNNNNNNNNNNNNNNNNNNNNNNNNNNNNNNNNNNNNNNNNNNNNNNNNNNNNNNNNNNNNNNNNNNNNNNNNNNNNNNNNNNNNNNNNNNNNNNNNNNNNNNNNNNNNNNNNNNNNNNNNNNNNNNNNNNNNNNNNNNNNNNNNNNNNNNNNNNNNNNNNNNNNNNNNNNNNNNNNNNNNNNNNNNNNNNNNNNNNNNNNNNNNNNNNNNNNNNNNNNNNNNNNNNNNNNNNNNNNNNNNNNNNNNNNNNNNNNNNNNNNNNNNNNNNNNNNNNNNNNNNNNNNNNNNNNNNNNNNNNNNNNNNNNNNNNNNNNNNNNNNNNNNNNNNNNNNNNNNNNNNNNNNNNNNNNNNNNNNNNNNNNNNNNNNNNNNNNNNNNNNNNNNNNNNNNNNNNNNNNNNNNNNNNNNNNNNNNNNNNNNNNNNNNNNNNNNNNNNNNNNNNNNNNNNNNNNNNNNNNNNNNNNNNNNNNNNNNNNNNNNNNNNNNNNNNNNNNNNNNNNNNNNNNNNNNNNNNNNNNNNNNNNNNNNNNNNNNNNNNNNNNNNNNNNNNNNNNNNNNNNNNNNNNNNNNNNNNNNNNNNNNNNNNNNNNNNNNNNNNNNCCCGCGUUGACGUCAAUCCAGCUGCAGAUGGAAACUAAUACCCUCUCCGCCUCAUGUCUAAACCUCAACGUUAGAACAGAUCUCAUCUAACGCAAGAGUAAAGGAUGCCCAACAUGAAGAGUGCUUUCCAAGUCGAAAGGAGAGUCCAGUGGAUCGGAUCGGAUCCCCUUCUUCGGGUCCCACAAAUAAGAAAAUAUAGAGACCCCACAAAUAAGAAAAUAUAGAGAAAUUGCUGCUAUUCAAAUCUGUUUCAGUCUUUCUUCAUAGCAGGUUGGGGUAAAGAAUGGGAAAGACGGCGAAUUCACUAUCUUCCGCUCCCCCGCUCGAAGGUAGGGCAUAACCCUUACCGCGGACAAAGAGAUGUCGAGGCAUAGAGCUUCCUUCCUUUUUCCAUCGCCAGAGAUUCUCUCCAGCCACUGAUUCCCCAGUAGACUAAUUGCUGGAAAUAGGGGGCGUUGAGCACAAAUCAAUAGUUGGAGUUACCUUUUCCAUCUAGCACUAAGACGAUUGGUGUCAAGAACAAACUAACCUCUUACGGCUAGAGAUCUCUUGUAAAAAAGCUCCUGUCAGUUCAUUAUUCGAAUAGUUGGAUUUUCAUUCCAUGGGUUAUUUCUCCAUAAGUACUAUGCACAGAAAGAACGGACUCCAUAAGUACUAUGCACAGAAAGAACGGAGGGGAGGAGCCAUAUGAAAUGAUGGGUUAUUUCCAUUAGUAUUAUGCACAGAACGGAGGAGCCAUAUGAAAUGCUAAUCUCACGUACAGUCCUGGGCUACCUUCUUCGCUGCGUGGAACAAGACUUCUUCCGUUUCUUCCCCAAGUAAAGUGUUCGAGGUCAAGGAUAAAGUGUAGUUACAGUUCUUUAAAUACUUCGGUGGGUUUCUAAGAUACAGGAGUGAGUGACUUAUGAAGAAUCUAUUGCAGCCUUCCUUAACUGACUAUGGAGGUCUCGGCUUUCAUUUAAGUUACUUGGCGCUGUUAACCUAUCGUAUAGAGUAGAGCUGGGUAAUCAGGGUCAGAGAUAUAUUCUUCAAUUCAACAAUCAAGGGAACCAGCAAGAGCAAGGGAACCAUCAAGAGAUGUUAGGCUAGGCGUAAAUUAACUAGAGCAGCCGAUAGAGAAACCCUCUAUGGAGAAUUUUGGAUUUUACAUAAGCAACUAAGAGGAGAAAAGAGCAGCCAUACCGAUUUCCGAGACUAGGUCCUUUUCCAUUAAUUACUGGUUGCGCGUCAGGGAGCUCGUUAAGUCUUUAUUUAAGUUAAGCUAUGUCUCACUCCUAUGGGUCUCGAUCAGGUGUGAAAGCCAACAACUCUGUUGCUACUAUAAGGGGAUAUGCAAUUCUUCACUUCAAUACCAGAGGCUAGGCCUGGUCUUCAAGGGCCGUUUACGAGGCAAGCUAAAGAAUAGAGCUAGGUUCACUUGUUUCAUGAAGUUACUCGGGUUUAUUCCUAUCCAAACAUAUAGAGCAUCCGUGAAAGAUGAAAUGAAUGAAGUGUUUUCCUAGUAGGCCCUGCCCUAACAGAGGGAAAGGUUAUUGAAUCCCCAUCGUAUAUAGCAUCUGUUAAUAAAUUCAUAUGGAGAAGAAGUCGUUCGAGGACUACUGAACUUGACUCAACUUAUCAUAGAGGGAGAUUGGUAAUAUCCUAAGUGAGAAUCAUAUCCUCAGUUAUAAUAAGAAAGAGUAUAAUAAGAAAGAGAAGGUUUACCUACUUAUAGAUUAAGUGAAAUUAGUAGAUUAGAGUCCAGCUCCAGUUCGAGAGGAAGCAAGCCGACAAGCAGGAGUGUGACAAGCGGUACAAGCAACAACUACUAUAAGGGCUUAGAGAGAUACAAUCAAUCCAGAUCCAAUGCGGGGCAUUGCAUUGCCAGGUUUGUGUUUUUCGAGUACUAUAGCAAGAGCAAGAAACCCUGCUAGAGCAAGAAACUGCUUCCAUAUAAGUAAGGCUUGUUGAACUCGUGACGCGGUAGCGCUGUUCCCUCUCAAUCCUGUCUUCUUCACUAUUCACUAUGCGGUCUUCGUCUGCGACUCCUUACUAUAUAACUAUGUGGUCUUCGUCUCUGGUGUGAUACUACUAAGAAUAAGGGACAGGUCUUUGAACUUUCACUGGCGCCCCAAGAGUGUAGUUGACUUUCCUCGCCUCAAAGCCCGUAUGCCAGCUUGGCUCCUACUUUCUAGUUUCAUUCCGGAAUGACUUAUUGGUAUUGGCUCGGUUAAGCCUGUCAGGCCAAGGUGUUUGUAGCAGUUGUUACGCAGUUAUAAUGUAUAUAGAUCUACAGCCCGAGAUACCCGCUUGCUAAAUGCAUCUUUUCAUGAAACUACUCGGUAAAGCCGAUAACUCCUCUUGCGACUGUAGUUCAUAAGAUUGAAACCACUACCUGGACUUACCGGUAUUCUACUAUCACUCUCCCAGGACCAGGGCAUUCUAAUUCAUAAGCUGAUGAUUCUACUGCAAUUUACUUAAGGGCUGCUUCCUUUUGUUUUCCAUCUUAUGGGACGACCCUUUCACAACCCUAUACUUCAAGUUAUGAAUUGGAAUAUCUCUUCUUAUAUUCCUUAUUAUCUAGCGGAUUCUUCUCGAACUUCAGAUUCUUCAGAUCUUUAUUCCUAACCUGAUAUAGCGGAAAAUAUCUUUAUGAUUCUCUCGGCUUGGCUUCUGAGACUGUCUUACUGGAGUGGGUACGUCUUAUAGCUAGCGCUUCUUACUGGAGUGGGUACGGCCUAUAUCGUUUGCUUACUUUCGGGGUGCAUUAGUCAAUAGUAUUCUAUUUCUGGGGUUAUUUUACACUGGCCUAAACUGAACUGUCUACUCUCAUGUCUUAUACCUUUAUAUAGACGCAUCUACUCUCCUGUCUUAUACACUGUUAUUAAAGGAAGCUAAGCUGGUUGUUUACCAUAUUCUAUCUUAGUCAAAACGCUAUCCAAUAUUCUCUCUUUCGAGUUGAGAGUGCUGUCUUAGAGAAUUACCUGAUUGCCAUCACUUUAUAGCCCAAUGAAAUAAGCAUUGUAUUUAAGUGGAGUUAUCAAGUGGCGCCUUAGCCAGCCGUUCUGGAAGCCUAUAACGUUAGCUUACUUGCUUGAGCGGGUCGGGUGUUUUACUUCUCUUCUAGGUUCAUCCCCAGUGGAAUGAUUUGUGGACUCGUUCACCAGGCAAGUAACGUAGUAAGUGUAGCGGCAGGAAGUUUACCGUGUUUUGGGGUAGCAACCCAGCCCUAGGAUGAUUAUCUCUUCCCUUUGUGAAUCCUAAUCAAAGAUGCCCAAUACCGAUUUCACUGUCGCCCCGAGGCGCAACUAUAAACGCUACCUUUUCAUUACUCUGUCUCGAGCCGAUCAAAAUGCAGAAAGAGCUUCAUUGACCAAAGAGCUAGUGGCUCUCCGUAUUACUGAGGCCCCAUUAGCUUCGACAACGAUUAUUGUUGCAAGAGAGGAGCAUGACGAGCCAGAAGUGUUCAAUGCCUUCAUUCCCGUACGCGGGUCAUUGCACGGCUAUCCAUCCUUUUCCCAACCGGCUUAGCUGCGUCUCCUCUACUCCCCUAGCUGUUCCCUGUCAACAGGACCUUUCCUCUCUACGUCUCCCCGCACGAAUCACUCCUUUACUCAAUGGAUAGCGCUUAUCCUCUUUCAAUCAAAAAAACGAUCAAUGGGGAAGAAAGAAAAGAAAGAGGUUGUUAUUGAAUAGGCUUUGCACCUGAAAUAAUACUAAUGAAGAUCCCCGGGUCUGGGCUUUCGAAAAGAUGAAUAUGCAGAGAUAUGAUAAAGUGUUUUGAACAACCAACAUUACAUAAGGAUUAUAGCUCGCCCACUUAGAGCAGGUGGAGAUUCUCGACGGAGAAAAGUGGCACUCGACAUCUAUGAAACAACACCAAGACAAGAACAAAGCCAUACCAUGCCAUCGGGAUAAACUCGUGAUGAUUGCCAUGAAUGCUGCCCUCUAGGAUGUGUACCAGAAGGUCUUUGCCGAUUCCUAUCAACAUGGUGCACCUCUCAGUAGAGCGUAGAGACCUUGACCGGGAUCAAUUGAUAUAAAUUUGGAUUGAGGAAAAUAGAAUCAAGGAUUAAUGCUUUUUCGUUAGCUAUGUGCUGACUGGAUGCGUACUCGCGUGAUCGAUCGAUGGACGGGGGAAUAGCGUGAAUGACGAGACCGGCCUAACCAAAAGUCACUUCUCUCUCUUGAUGGCGAAUCUUUAUUGACUGAAACUAGGAACACGAUUCGGAUAAACAAGAAGCAUGGCAUGAGCAGACCAAUUUCCGAUAGCUAAUUACUUGAUUCGAUGGAUGGAAACCAACUAAAGCACGAAAUCAAUGUUGAGUCAACAAUCAUCGAGAGGGGCACCGCCGAGACCAGCACCUUGUAUAGUAAAGGGUUCCUAGCUUCUUCAAAUCUCCCAAGCAAUAGGGGCUUCAAAGCUUUACAAAGACGCAACAAACUAUACUUUUCGAAAGACGGGGGCUAGCUAGCUUACAAAUCUUAUAGGGCUUUUGAAUUCCGUCGAAAAUCUCUUAUACGGUAUAGACGCUUAUUACCUCCCACUCUAUGCCCUGUGAUAGUUAUUCCUCUUGCAUUACUACCUUUACCACAACGAUGCUGUCCAGAGAUCCAAUUCUUUCGUGCUGUCUACGGCUACUUUGCGUGUGCUGUGGGUGGGUAGAAGUUCCGUAUUGUAUCUUCAAGCUAUUUGGAUUUCCGUUAUUUUCCAGAAAAUAGGUGGAAUACGGUUGAAGCGUAAUGAUCAUACGUCUGUAAUGCAUUGUAUGUCCCGGUCCUAUUCUUCUAUCCUUUCUCGGGAGUCGAUGACUAUUCAUAGCUAUUACCUUGACACCAACCAAAGAAGAGUUCGACCCAAUGCUGGAUUUCUGUCCUAGUUGAUCCUGAUUCGACAUUAUAAGAAUUCAUAUGGAUUUUGCAGCAAUAACCGACUACGAAAUAUUUGAUUCCAUCCAUAAAUGAACUUCCCUAGGAGUUAGAGUCUCGUCUCAAGAAGUUAUGUAUUAAUAUAUGUUUCUCGUCUCAAGAAGUUAUGUAUUAAUAUAUGUUUUCUGGUAUCUUUCUAUGACCUAUGUUUUCUGGUAUCUUUCUAUGACCCCGGUAUACGGAUACGCGGAGCAAGAGCUCUUUCAAUCUACCCGGACGAAAUACGGGACUCUCGAUAAGACAGCGAGUUUCGGUGUUCAUGGACCAACUCUAACUAUGCUUGCUUUCCGGGUGAGGCACGCUUUUCAUAAUUCUUUCUUUUAGCAGUUCUGCUUUAGCAUCUUUAUAGAGCCUAGAGAGAUCCUCCCGCUAUUCCUUCCCGACCUACCUUUCUUUUUUCUUUAUCCUUUCCCCAUAUGAGAUGAAUUGAUAUUCGUCUUAUUUAGGGGUGUAAGGUAGGAAGGACCUAUUCAAUAGUUGCAGUUUCUGUUCGAGUCCACCAAGCAAUGAAAGAUUCUAUUUUCAUUUAGGGAUCCCCUCCUUGCUUACAGAGUUAAUCCCGCUCUUCCUUUUUCUUAGAUUCCAGAAAGCAGGUCUCCAAGAAAGUUAGGUUCCUUUCUUCCCCCUUCCUUUGAGUCUUUUGCUUUCCUCUGCCCAAAUGCAAGAGAUGGACGGGCAUGAGCGAGCCUUCUUCAUUCACUGCCUGGCCUUUUGAAAUCCUUUGGUUGAAACACAAAAAGCUAUUUCUGGGGUGUCAGUGCAGGUCGGCAUUGCCUAAGUAAGGUCCGGCUAUGGUUUGCGCCCAUCACAAAGAGUUGGUAUAAGGCUACUUUACCUAGCAAACAUAUAAGAAUAAAGUCAGAGAAGCCGUCGAAGCAAGCCGAUCCGACAUAGGUUCAAACGCAUGCACCUUUCUACAACUUANNNNNNNNNNNNNNNNNNNNNNNNNNNNNNNNNNNNNNNNNNNNNNNNNNNNNNNNNNNNNNNNNNNNNNNNNNNNNNNNNNNNNNNNNNNNNNNNNNNNNNNNNNNNNNNNNNNNNNNNNNNNNNNNNNNNNNNNNNNNNNNNNNNNNNNNNNNNNNNNNNNNNNNNNNNNNNNNNNNNNNNNCAGAGAUUCAAUUAAUAUAAAGAUGAAACAAAAGACAGAGAUUCAAUUACGGCCUAUGCUUAGGAUUCUGCACUCGCGAGAGAUUCUAAAUGAAUGGUGAAUACAGUAGCUUCACUUCCUGGAGAGGUAAGGUAUCAAAGUUUCCGUAGAAGUGGAGUGCUUGUGAUAAAGCUUAAGUAGGCUAGAUAGAUAUUGAUUCCCAAAAUGCUUUGUUUGUUGGUGCUGUAAGAGAAGAAUCCGGCUGUAUAGGUGUUGUCAACGAUAUAAGUAGAUGAAGCCGAAGCAGGUGAUAAUUCUCAAUGAAACCAGAUACUUCUAAUUGAACUUGCGCCGGUCCCCAAUCAGAGUUCAGUCCGGUUUUUGGGAGCCCGAGUCCCGCCCUUCAAAUGCAUUUGGAGCCUAAGAUACCAGAUCCGACUUGCUAACUUCCUAAUGCCGUUACUUGUUCAGAGAAAACUCCCGUUAGCCUUACUUGUGCUUGCGCCCUUGUUUAUAUGUUCUCCUUACACUGAAAAUGAAGUACUUGUUUGUUCUCCUUACUUUCAUAACUCUGAGCUAGGCACUCAACUUGAAGAAAAGAAUAUAUGAUUUACUUAUGAUAGAUAUUUGUAACCUUACUCUGAACUAUACUGUCAAUUAGGAAACUUUCAAUUAGGAACCUGACUCGGAACACAAGAAGUUCAGAAUGGAAUUUCUACUGACUUGAGCCUUUUCCUUGAUACCGCACGAGCACCCAAAGAGACAAGACUAAGAGCUUAAGCCUUAUUAACAAGCACUUGAUCCUUUCCUAUCUCCACAACUAAGAGCGUAAGCCUUAUUAACAAGCACUUGACACUGAUUGAAUUCCUACUUCGAAAGGACAUCCGCGCGUUAGGAGCCUGAGCGGCCCCAUCUAUACUGUAGCUCGAUUGUUAGCCUGCCACUAUUGAAUCUAAGGCUUGCUUUCCUUUAACAAAGUAUGCCUCUCCUGCCUCGGAUUCUACCACUCUUAUUACAAUUCCUGUUUACAGCUGUUCUAGUGAAUUUGGAACUAAUCUCAAAUUAUUAGAGUUAUUACCGAGCCCUGUCUUCUAGCGGUAGUGUUUCCACCUUACUGCCUAUGUGCCUAUGAGCCCGCUACCCCUUACUAUCGUUCUUUAUCCACUAGCUAUUAGCCCUACAUUACUUUCUUUUAGUCUUGCUUUACCGCACCUUAGCCUGCCCCUGCAGUAUCUCAUUCCGAAACCCCUGACCUCAAUCACUAUAGUUUGUCUCUUCCACUCCUACAAUAAUUCCAGUAGUGUCGAGUUAACGUCUUCUAAUUGCCUCUGUCAUUCCCCGAAUCGGAAUACAAACUAGGUCUGUGACUCUUGCCUUAAAGGUCUCGUAAUACCUCUUUUCAUUCUCUCGCUGCUUGCUUUUAUUCUAUAUUUGCAGCAGGUAUAAGUCCGUUUAGUAUUUCCUUAUUUGAUAUUGGAAUGUGUUUUCUCCAUAUGAUAUAUUCUUCUAGUUUAUUAGGGAAAUUUGACUCAAACCCAGCAAGUACUAUUUCAGUUUAACAGUAGAUCUUUGGUGCCGGUGUUUAGUAGCCGAGUAACUCAAAGACAACUGUCAGAAUCAAAACUGCCAAGACACGCAAAGACAACUGUUAUAAUAAAAGCAGCCAAGACACGACUACCUUUUGUUUUUGAUUAUUACUGUUUAGUUCGACAACUACUUCCGUUUUUGCCAGUAUAAGAGUAAAGGCAAGAAGUUAGGAGAAAAGUGAAUAGCUGGAGAAUGAGAUAGAGCAAUAGGAGACUUGAAGUUUGUAGUGACAGGCUCUAGCUCCACAGAGGAAUGCCAAUAAUCAGUUUCAGGCCUAGAGUCGGUAGAGCAAGGAUCGAAGUAAGCAUAGUUAAGGAAUGAAUGUAAGGUAGGAAAGGCAUAUUCCAAGCCGAGGGAUAGAGAUAAGUAGGCCGGGGAGUAGGAGUGAGAUUAGCAGCUUGAUGGCUAAUAGGUGGAAUACCGAGUUAGGUGGCCGGGUGUAUAGACAGAUCCCUAUGUUGGGCGUAGUGCAAUACCUAAAGUAUGGCCCGUAAGAGCGAAAGGCACGAGUCAGGCUUGUCCCCUAGGACGAAUAGAAGGCUUGGACCCGUUUUGGGUGAAUUCUAUCUUUUAAUGCAGUGUUUUCUUCCUACAUUAGUCUAUUAGUAUAUAGUAACUUAGCCGUCUACUCACCAGCUGCUUUGCUGCCCUUGUUAUGGGCUAUAGCCUUGUUAUCUAUGGGUUUAUUCUGACUUUUUGGUUGGUAUUGGUAUAAGAACCCGUGUGUGUAGCAUAGAAAUCUAGUAGAAAGAUAGAGUCAAUAAAGAUACCUUUUUCACCCAUAAUUGUAGUUGUUAUUCUCUUUGAAUUUAGAUAAGUGGGGUUAAAGUUAAGUAUUGUUCCGAGUAGUUCUAUUCUUCUUAUCAGCCAAACGAAUAUUAACCCUAAAGCAUCUCCCUCCUAUUUACUCUUCCGCUGCUGACUUUUCUUCUUAGGCGAAAAUGAGUCAAAUUAUAAGUAGAGGAAUUAGUACCUAUCGUUAACCCAGUAAGAAGUAAUCCCUUUAGUAAGAAUGUCACUGGUGUCUCGGAGAACCAAACUCUGUAUUAGUAGGAAUUAGGGUACGACAUCUCCAGUUGUUGAUAUAGGGAAUCCAACUGCGAACUAUCCGGCUGUAACACUGAGCCUAUAGCACCUUAUCUUGUAGCUUAGGAUCAACCUGGCACUACUGAUCUACAAUAUGGAUUUCACCUUUGAUAGCCUUGCUUCUUCCCUAGGGACUCCUUUCUUUUGGUCUGACUUUCCCGAUCUAACAUCUUGCCUUAUAGGUGGUGAGGCUCCCCUUCCUUUAUUAUUAGUAAUAGUAAACAUCAUUCUUAUUGCCGAACUUAUACCUCGACAUUGGAUUAAACUAGAGCAACAACUAUACCUUGCCUUGCAUCAAAGGAGACCUCGCCAAGAUAAGAGAACAGAACGACUCUCCCUGUAUCAAAGGAUGCGCCCGCGUACUGGUAAGACGGAAUCUUGAGAUACAUAUAAUUGCCGGUGUGUGUGGUUCUCCCGUCCGUGUUUGGUAUGUGUCGGGCCGGUGCUAUAACCAUCGUUGUUUUCGAACAAUGACUGAUUGAUUGAAUGACUGCUCUAAGAAUCUGUUGUGUUACUGACAGAAUAGGUGAGAUCACUUUAAUCAUGAGGACACGCCCCAGAGACAAUUACCCUUCGAUGCGCGUCUGAUGUCCCCCCGAAGACUUACUUGAUUACAUAGUAUAUCAAUUGAUUUCUUUAUUGAAGACAUCAUGAAGAGAUGGAUCGGGCCUAAGAUCAGAGUCAAACUCAUUAGUCAAAGAAUUCAUCUAGUAUACGCUUGAGGCUGUUUCAUAGGGAGUGAGCCUUGGGAUCAUUAGUUAGAGAAUAGAAGUAAGGCCCUUCUAGUAAGUUGAAUAAGAAAGUAUCGGCUUUGAAGCAAAUGGAGAGUAAGAAGCAAGUAAAGGAGGAACCAAAUAGGAAGCUAAAGGAAAGCUGCUGUCCAAUCCGUAAUUCAAUCUCAAGGUAACCCACCUAUCUUUCAACUAUACUAGAUACUUACCUUCGAGCAGAAAAGAAAGUAUUGAUACUCCAGUUUAUACAUCAAUUGCUUCCUUUACACGUGCAGAUUAAUUGAACUUCCAACUCUCUUUCCUGAUGCCGAGUAAAGCAGUAACUCCGUCUCAACUCCCACAAACGCGUAAUGGCUUUCGCCCUGACUUUUGGAAUUGACCUAUAUCUCGCCAACCCUGUAUGUCCUAUAUCUCGCCAACCCUGUAGUGCUCUUAAUCAACCUGCACCUCUUUCUCUCAACAAAGAAUUCUACUAAUCAAUAUAAGAAUUCCACAAAAGGUACGUAAUCGUUCAACAACGGUAUGGCAUUGUAACAACUACCACUCAGUUGGAAUUGAGGAAUAGAGUGGAAGGGCUUAUAAGAAUCUAAGAAUGGAGCUUCCUCUGCUAAAGUGGAAUUCUUUCCUUUUGAGCCACUAGAUAUAGAAUUUGAGAGAAACGAAAACUCUACGUAACUCUGUAGGAAUUGAAGAGCCAAGUAACUAAGACAAGCAAAUACGAAUACUACGCUCAAAUGCAUUAGAAAGUCCAUUAGGAGAGUUUUCAUGAUAGAUGACAUAAGCUACGUUGAACAGAUAGAGGUGUGUAGACCAGAAAAGAAAUAGGGGUUGCUCACGGAUACCUUAGAUAGGGGUUAUUCAGCGCGGUGUAACGAUUCUCAAUCAGAGUUUACAGCAUCACCCGCCCUUCUCUUCUUUUCUUCAGCGCACUUCAGUAUCGGGUGCUAGUGUUGUCUCUUUGGGUGCUCGUGUAGUCUAUGUUGUCUACGAUAGAAUCCGCAGUUUCAAAGAAGGAUGUUGGCGCAGCUGCAAGCGGAAAGGAAAGGAUAGGUGAAGGUGAAAGAGAACCGGAACCAGCAAGCGAAGCGGGAACGGGAAGGAAAGUGGAAAGUUUGGUGCUUUAGCUCCUAGUAUACCUAGGGUUUGAAGCGAGGUGUCAAUCAUAGGAUAGAGAUUAUUCUGUGACAGUUGCGAGUGUAGUCUAAGUCUAGUGUUGUCAAAGUAUACUGGUUCUGUUGCGGUAAGGGUCAAAAUGCGGAAAGAGAAUCAUAAAGAUCUGGAUCUUAAGCAGAAGAGAGAUCUUCAACAGGAGAAAAACCAGUUCAUGUUGAAAGGCGUGGCUCGCGUAAGGGAAAUGAAUUAUGGGAAUGAUUUGUUGAACAAGGCGCUCGAAUCGAAAGAUGAAAUUGAGUAGCUUCAAACUGUCCCAAGAGCGUUGCAAUAGAAGUACCCCGUCUCGUAGCGCAUCAAGUCUCGUUGCUUCAACCCACGUGGACCUGCCCCGCCUAGGCCUAACUGUUAGUUUAGGUUCAGACACUUUGGUUUGGCGAGAUCGUAUUGUUAUCUUGGCCCAUUUAAACAACACCUUUCUACUUUACCGAACAAGCUACGUGGGCAGUGAAGAUGCGAUUCGACUUCUGGAACUCUCCUGUCAUCUGGGCCAAGUAACUACUAAUGUGUAGCGGCAGUGAGCCUUUCCGAUGAUGAAAAACGACUUCUCCUUCCCCUAUACCAACUCUGUACUAGUUCCCCCAGAAUACGGAAUUGAAGGAGUUUAGAGUUUACUUAACACUGGCAUAAUGACUUCAUUCUGGGCCAAGUAACUGCUACGAAAACAUAGAAGGCAAGGAACUCAUAUAAUAUGUUUUAUGGGGUUGUUCCCAAGUCCUAAUCUCGAGCGGCAGCCAAUAAACGCCAAGCAACUACUAAUGUUGCGCGGCAGGGCCGCUAGAGUUCCCAUUAUUACAAUAUAUGUCUUCUACUUGGCUUUCUCCUGACUUUUCCCCUACUAAAUUCUAUAUUAUCUUAUUAAGGAGAAAGUUUCGAAAGAUCUUCUUAUUAAAGAGAAAGUUGAGAACGAGUCCAGUCCUGCGUACGGGCUAGGUGCGAGUCGAGGGAUAGUUUACAGUGAAAGAAGAUAAGAAUUCAUAAUUGUUGACAGAGUUAGAUGAGAGUAGCCAGAGUGAGAUUAACCUCGUUGCCAGAGUUCGAUUAGCCUAAUGAAGGUAUAAAAUCAAUUGAGUUAGACUAAACUAAGUAUAUAGUAACAGAGGAGCUCCCGAAAACAGUAGUAGUAGUAGUUCUGGUAGUCGUAGUUCUGUUCGAGUGGAAUCCUCAUAUAAAGAAGAUCGAGUGAGCAACUGUAGGAGUGAGUAACUGUAGGAGUGAAAGGCUUUCCCGAGCUGAGAUAGUUGGGGAAAUAAGAAGAAUCUAGUAGCAACAGAGUAGUUGGCUUGAACACGAGUUGCACUUUAAGGGCUCAACUUGUCAGGUAUAUGCUUGGCUCUGCCAGUUUAGUUCAAGGACUUUAAAGCACAGGGUUCCUAACGCGCGUAAGCGAGAUCUCCUUUUGAAGCUGAACCCUAUCCAUCUGCCUUUGUUUGCUUGAAAACUCACUCCUAACUCAUUGCGCCAAACAACAAGAAUUAAGGACAUUGCUUUAAGAAAAGAAGUCCUGUGUUCGGUGACGCGGUAGCGAGUGAAACGGCAGUAGCUCGCAAUUCGAUUAUUUGGAUGCGCCAUACCCUUAUCCAUUUUAUAUGCUAGUUCUGUUCUUGCCGGCAGUGAUUUUCUCCUUGUUUGUCCUAGUUCAAUCUAUUACACUAAUCAAUAUUCUAUGGAUGAACGUUUAAACACAGUUUGCAAGCAAGCAGUAUCUGACUUCUAGUUAAGGUAAGGAAAGAGCCCAGGCCGGUAGAAGGUAUAGUAAGAAGGAGAGUUGAGCUACAGAAUGCCAUAAGUUGGGAGCAUACUGGGAUGCGCAUUGGUACCUAAUUCUUCUACUCCGGAGUUCAAUUCUGAAUGCCAUAGUUGGAUGUAGUUACUUGUCAGUUAGCAUUAUUAAUGGACUUACCGGCGACUUCCGAUAACUCUCCAGUAAUGCGCUCUUGCAGUAUAACCUAUAAGUUUGGAAAGUCAUACUUCAACUAAGGAGUGUGGGAAUGAGGUCGAAGGAGCAUAAGAAUGGAAGGCUAAAUAAAUAAUGAGAAGUUUCUUUGUUACGUGUAUUGGGAAUGCUAAUCCAGAGCUCUGGUAUGAAAAAAGGCAAGUAUAAGUCUGGGGUGUUCUCAUCUCAGUGCAACGUGUGAAAUGGCUUAGUAAAGAGAGAGAUCUUUGGAUAUCGGCAAAGUCAGAGAAGAAGGUGUUUAUACUACGAAUAUCUUCCGAUUCGGAAAAGCAAAUAGAGAAAAUAGAGAAGAUAUCGCGAAAGGAAGCGAACGAAGUCACCUUGUAAGAAAGUUGCCUGCCUUAAUAGCCCACCCGUAUGUAGUCCAAAUUCCUUUAUACGCCUUAGUAGCCCACCCGUAUGUAGUCCAAAUUACUCUAUAAGUUGUGGUUGUUAGUUCAAAGUAGGCCGCUUCAGUCCAGUCAAUCAAGCAUUCCAUCGAAGCAGUAGGACUCGAGAUAACCUCUCCUGUCGAGCAGAGAUCACCUAUCUCAAACAACAACGAGAGAGAUCACUGAAGCAUAAGGGGAUAUCAACAUACUGUGACACUCGGGAGAAACUCUCCAGUACAUGGGCCAAGUAACGACUACAAAAGCAAUGAAAACAGGACAGGCUAGUAAAACAUAUUCUAUUUAUAGUACCUAAUGAAUAGUAUAUGUUAUUGGGAGUACAGUACCCAUAUUAGUAGAGUGCGGUUCAUAAAGUGGAGAGUAAGGAUCAAGCCCAUACUCCGUUUCAAGAUCAGAAGCGGAAGAGAUAGAAUGCAGCAGGAUAAGAAUCAAUUAAGGGAUCUGUUGCCGAAGCCUAAUCUCCUCUUUCUUUUGUAUGCCCACUUAGUUUCAUUCUGCCUUUGAUGUUGAGAGCACUAGGUGAGUUACCGGCUUCCAUUGGAACCCUAUUGCCUAAUUCUUCUGUUUCCAAUGUGACUCCUUCAGCCUAUUAAUUAAGGUGCUGAAAGCCUACCGGUAUGAAACUCGAAAAGGAAAGUCGACGAAAGAAUCAGAAGUAGGUACCACUCCUAUAAGAUAGAAUAUAAAUUGUAUCAGAAGCGGGGCCAAGCAACGCAAAGACAACUAGAAUAAUCAACUUACAUAUAGUAGAUUUAAUAGUUGUUAUUACAAUACCCGUUUUGGGGGCCGCUCAGUAAUAACGAACUUAUUUAUGAACUUCAAGUCCCGUGUUCGAGGCCAAGCCACUAAAUCAAUCCCUUGUGCAUUAGCUUACUUUCCAGGGGUGUGCCAACAGUCUCUGAUUGGGCUACUAUUCCCAUUGAUUUGACUAUUCCUAUUGAUUUGACUCUGAUUACUCUGAUUUGGCUACUAUUCCUAUUCCUAUUGAUUUGAUCUGAAGCUGCUGCAAUUGAUAAGUAAGCGCGGGUCAGGCCUGUAUCAACUAUUCUGCAACUAAGAAGCUAAGGAAGGACCUACCACAGCUCGAAGUAGAAAGUGGUUCGUUGAAAAGAAAAGAGUGAGUAAUGAGUCCUGUUUUCGGGAGCUCAACAAAGAUAUAAAGUAAGGGGAAUAAACCGGUACUGGGUUGGUGCUUACGCUCUGCUCUAGGUCGAGGCCUCUAUAAGAAGUGAAGGGUGCUAAAACAAAAGAAGUAGGGGCGGGAAGCUAGUCCAGAGUCGAGGCCAGCAAGGUCAGAAUCACACCCAGGAGUUACAGAAUGCAACCAGUAUAACAGAGAGUUGAACCCAGUAGUCACAGAAUUGACCUAAGCGGUUUAAGAGUGGAGCUAGGCAUAGUAAGACUAUGGUUCCGAGUCAAGGAAAACUGUAAUGGAAUCUCUCGAGCAAGCAUCCACUGAAUAGAAUCCUUCUUGCUACUAUUAUAGAUAUCCGUAAACAACCUCUGAAAACUCUAAUUGUAUUAGAUGAAGAAACACCUCUCUCUCAUAGACCGACGUAAAAAACAGAAGAACUGACCCACCUAACCCAGGGCGGGGGAGACCCUCUUCCUUCUAUCAUACCUAGGCAGGGUACAAGUAGAAUAUAGUACCUUAGCCCCGCGGGUAACAAGAAUUCUUUCAGUUGCAUCAGUGGAUUCUGCUUCCUUCCGCCUCGGACAAAACUGGGUUGUUCAGUGGCUUGGCUCCUCUUAAACUAGUUGAGUUGUUCUUUCGCUCCUCUAGCUUGUAUGCAGCCUGUGCAGUGUAAGUUGUGUGGUUGCUGAGGCCGAAAACCGGGUAAGGGCAGCCUCGUUAGUAUUAGCUAAAGUCUUAGUUCCGAGUCGAGUUCACUGGGUCCCAACACUGCAGAUAAGUCUUAUUAGCUUCAGACUUCUUCUUAUUCUUAUUACCAAUACAGGGAGUGGGCGCAGGCCUAGAGACAAGAGAGUAAGUCCGAGAGACAGGAGAAGCGGAGGUGAACUAAAGAUUAUAGGGCGGGAUGAUAAGAAUUCGAUAAGUAACGACUGGGCGUUAAGGCAGGCAAGACAGAACACAAGCAAGGGGCAUAAGAGCGAAAAGCUAGAGAGGUUGUUUGAAGGGAACAAGUAAGGCGGUGGAUAUGAAAAGUCAAGAUCCGGAUCAGUAGCGAAAGCCCCAGUUUCUAGUUCCAAAGUAGUAGUGAGUUUCGAGUUUGUGGUCUGAUAUAGUGGAGCCUUACUAUGGGUAGCGCAAUUAUGAUUAUUCUAGGAAUUCGACUUUCAAGGCGGAAGUGGAAGUUUAGCCCGUAUCGGAGUUAACAGUUAAAGUAGAAGUUUAGCCCGUAUCGGAGUUAACAGUUAAAGUAUUAGAAGCUGUAGCUCCAUUCUGGAUUUAGUAGUUCAAUCCCCUGUUAUUAGUUUAUUUCCGACUUUUGAUUGAAAGUAGUAGAAGCGCUCAGUAUCAUAAGAAUCAAAGCGGUGUGCCCCAGAAAAGAAGCCUUAUCUUUAUCUUCAUCUGUUGUCCAAUUCCCCAUCACAAGAGAAAUUCCACAUCACAAGAGAAAGUAGUAGAGGAACCAGCCCAAGUCCUAUCAACUGGUAGUUAAGCCUAUAUUCCCUGUUAUAAGUAAAAGGAGAGGUAGCAAUAGAGGAGUUCCCGGUUUUGAGUUGAGUUCCUUUGCUCUUGUUUCCGGCUAUCGGGGUAGUGCUGCGCUCUCUUGCUUACUAUUUAGAUUCUGUGACUUAAGCCUGUGAGCCUGUAUACCGACCUUAGAUAAGCUAUACGGACCUGUGACUUAAGCCUGUGAGCAUGUAUACUGACCUUAGAUAAGCUGUUCUGUUAGCUACUGAUACGGAGCCUUACCAAUCAAUCUGCGCUUGCUUUUUGUCCUAAACAGAUGCUGCCACCUAUAAGAGUUGAGCUCGUUAAGGGGCUGCCGCGUAUAAUUAGUAGUUACUUGGCGGCCCUUGAAGAAAGUCUUCUCAUAAUUCUAAUACCACUAUACUUGCUAGUUCGUGUUUCAUUGAGGCGGUCGGAGAGUAAGGCCUGGGAGUGGAGGGUAAGAAAUCAGAAUGAGUUGACUUACUUGGCGGGUAGGGUAGUUCAGAAUUCCAUCUAUCUUUCUUGCGCUUCAGAAAGCAAUAAUCUAGGUUGUUAAGGGCAAUCUGGCCUCUCUCUACGACAACAAAAGAACCGACAACUUGACUUGCUACUGACUUUAGCACUGACUUGAGUCUUCCCCUCGUAAAUGCUUCACAGCCGUAUUCUUCUCCUUCAGAUGAGAAAGCUGCUGACCUUACCUUUGGCACAGCUCCUUAUCUAGCUUAUGAUAUGGUUCCGGGUUAACUCUUAACUCUUUGAUAUGUUUCUUAUGCUUCUGGAACAAUACUUGAUACUGGUACAAUACUUUAAUCAGGAUACUGGUACACAAACAAGGAGCUCGACGAAGACGAAAACAGGACUUGAAGACCAGAUUGCUGCUGUACUUAGAAGAAAGACUUCCUUAACAUUAAACUCAGAAUGAAACUACUUCCACUUUCCCUGCAGGAUUUGUUGCUCUAGUACUGUUGCUUGGCCCCCUUUCUUAACCGCCAACACCGAGAUGAGAGACAACACUAGCAACCGACCUUUCAAAGUACAGAAUUGGAUCUAUCUCUUGCUGUUAGCGCCCUUGCUCGUUCUCUACUAAUUGAGUAUUCUUGACUUCCUUCCUGUUUCUACUCAAUCCUCUGAUCUUAUAGUAGUAGCUUCUUGAACUAAACUAUCUUAUUGCCUCAACAUUAGCGGAAUCCUUCUUGCCCUAGUAAAGAUGCUGGGCGAGGAAAGUAUACCCUUUCUUUCUUGGUAUCGAUUUCACCCCUACUUCUGGUCGUUUAAGCCAUAUUCCACUCAGAUUAUUAACAGAAAGCGAAAUUCCCUAUCCUGUAUCCGGAUGUUCUAUGGCAUUUCUCCUAUAAUCUUGAUGAUUCCCUUGCACUUGAGCUUGAUGGUCGAAUUGAAUCUAGCGUGACUACACAUAUAGAAGUCAGCAACCGAUAACUCUACUACAUACUCUAAACAACAGAGCUUUGCUUCCUUUACGAACCCCAGAAAAAAGUACAUUCUCCUAUGGCCAAACCACUGACAAAUAAGCCUUAUGAAGCGCUAAGUACUCUUAUGGCCAGCGCCCCAGCAUCUUACCUUUGACUUCCUUACCUUACUUGACUUUCCUCGCAUUGCGGAUGCAGAUUCUAUAUGGGAUGAAACUAGGGAUUCUGGAUACUCCACUCAAGAAUGAGCUUUAUCUGAAGCCUAAGAUGGAUCGGAAGAAGGUACUCGUUCUUGCGCUUGUGUCUAAGGCGGACGCUCCUUGUCGUAGGUAUAGAUAAGAAAAGUUCGGUGAUUGGACUGGACCACUACUCGGUAGAGCCAAGCAUUCAAGUUCAGGUCAGGCUGUAAACACCUAUAUUUCUCGUUCUUUAACCGUUGUUCUAUUUCUCGUUCUUUAACCCAUGUUUUUAGACUCUUCUUCAAGCUGUGGUGCACUGCACUCACUCUAUUCUAUUCCUUAUAGUCAGGGCGGAAGCCAGGGCGCUAAGCAAGAACAAGUACGUUAAGGGAGCAGCUUUCCUCAAGUCCUAUUCCUAGUGCUAACGUUAGCAGCUUUCCUCAAGUCCUAUUUCUAUGCUAUGUACAGUAUAUUCUAUUCCGUAUGAGUUUUGUUUACUUCAGACUCCACUGUCUUUACAGCGCGGGUAAUUAUAGAAUCAGAGGUCUAACUCUCAUAAGCCGAUGAAGACAAGAAGUCUCCUAUAUACGAAGUAGAAGCAGUGCAAUGAAAGUCGACUCGAGAAUCAACAGUUACAAGUGAAGAAGUAGUUACAGGUCCAGUAUAAAGGUUCGGUGUUGGACUCGGGGCUCGAAACAAGUGUGUUAGAGAGGGUCGGUUGAUAGAGGUGCAAGUGUGGCUCCUGCGCAGGUUUCGUAUACAAGUCCAGGUGCUCAAGAGCUUCAAUUACAUUCUGACUUGAUCAUAUUAGGGUACUAAAUGUAAGCCAUUCCUAUUCUUAGUGUACUACUUUCCAUUAGGGUGGAAUCCGGGCCAAGCGUUAGCCGAGUAACUACUAUACAAGUCGACAAGUCCUUUAUUCGAGCGUUAGUAUAUAGGCUCACGGUCAAGUUGUUGAAUGAGGGGAAGGUCUUACUUCUUUCUAUGCCCCAUGUGCAAGAUGCAAGAUCACAGAGGGAUAUUCCAUUCUUACAAAGUACUAAUUCCACUCAUAAGUCCAAGGCGGAAAUCACUGAUAAACAAGGAUAUAGCUCCAAACAAACUGGUUUAGUCCACCGCUCCUGUGUCCCUCAACCCACCUCUCUUUGUUUUGCGUAUUACUCUCUUCGCUAUUAGUCUCACUUUCUCUGCCUUCGUUCUGUAGCUAUUGAUAUCGAACCUUGCUUCGCCUACCUUAAAGCAGCCCUUGCUUGCUUUAUUUAUUUCACUUCUGCCUAUAAGCCCGCCUUUACUGCCUUACAUGCUUGCUUAACGCCCCAAACAUUGGAUUCUUUCCGUACUACCCUAGCUCUAAAGCUCAUACAACUUCUUUUUCUUCUAAUGAGUACUGAUCUUAACUCUGUCAUUCCUAUUUCUGAGUAAGAGCCUUGCUUCACUGCCUCUAGGUCCCAUAUUGCUUUAUCUCAUUCCCCAACUCCAAACCCUAGCUCUAGAAUUCAAUAAAGUAUAACUCAACUACAAAGUUGGAAAUACAAAUUAUUGUUUCAGUGUAUAAGAAUGAUACUAGGCAUUAACAGAAUGAAAACACCACUAAAGAAAACAACUAUAGGGCAAGUAAGCCAACAACUAGGGAUGCAAUAAAGAAGUACGACCCAAGGACUGAAACAAAGAAUCGUGAAAGGAAUACAGGAUUCAACCAAGGAAGGGUUUACUAGUAAGCAGGCAAUGCAGACUUAAAUCAAGGCAGAGCAGCUUAGCUUUAAGGCCAGCUAGCAUAGGAUCCGAAUCAGGAGUUACAGCAUACAAGUCCGGAUGUUGAAGAAUGAGAAUUAGAUGCUGCAAAGCAAGGUUCAAACUAAGAAGGAAUGUACCCCCUAUAAGCCUUAAAGUGAGGAUAUCUUCUGAUAGUUAGAAGUUUAUGGGUGAGCAGCAAAGUGAACGGCAAAGUGAACGGCAAAUGAAACAUCUUAUUAAGGGAAGUGAACGGCAAGUGUAUCAAGUGAACGGCAAGGGGGACGGCAAUGAGUUAAAGCAUGUAAGCAGUAGUGCAAGUCCGUAGUUUGCUUCUAAGUCUUCUACUGCGUUGGAUCCGAUUUGAUCGUACCUGAGUUCUUUGCCGCCCGCCGCCCAUUCAGAAUUCUUAGGGUUAGAGUUCCGUUUGUAGCUCCCUGUUAUGAGUUAAAGAAUGAGUCUUAGUUCCGAGUGGUCUUAGUUGAGAGUUGAGUUCCCGUAGUUAGUAGUUACAGUCGGAUAUAGUUGGUGGGUUCCUUGGCUAACGCUUGGAGGUAGUAGUCGCAGGCUUUCAAUUAGUAGUUUCAGAGCAAAAAGAUGCAUCUCGUUUUUCAGUCAGUAAGGUAAGGCCGCUAGCAAGGAGGCAGAGUUCAAUAGGUGAACUCCUGAGUGAAAACAAAUAGAAUGAGAUACAUUAGCAGGAGAGUGCAAGUCAACAGUAUAAGCCUCUAAGCCUAUAAGCAAGUAUGCCACUAACAAGUAGAAGUUUGUGGGGAGGAAAUCCGACUUAAAGGAAGUAAGGGUAGGCUAACUAUAUCCAUGAAACCAGACUUGAAGGCAUUUGUUGAAGAAUAUAAGUCAAGAUUAGCAGAAUGAUAGUGCGGAUGGAUGAUAAGAUUGGUCUCGCGGGUGGGCUACCAAGAAAGUAAGGCGGUAGGACACACUGAGUUACAGGAGAGGCAGGCCCUAACUCAAACAUAGGCAUUUUUGGCAGUAGGGGAAGUUUGAAGCUAAGGAGAGGUCGUCUUGUCAGGAGUCGCUGGUUUCCUAUUUGUUAGUUCCUUUCAGAUUUUCCUAUUUGUUAGUUCCUUUCAGAUUAGUAUAGGAAUCAGACUUCACGAAAGGAUAGGCAAGGCAGACCAAUCUCCCCCAGGUAACAAGGCUCAUGGGCCGGAGUACAAGUUUGAAAGCAAAAGCAAGGACAGUGAGGGUUUCAGCAAGGCGGGUCAGCUUAGGUAGGGUAGCGAGCAAGGUUUGAGAUAAGUCAAGUAAGGUCGAUAAGUCGUAAAGUAAGGUUAGAGUCCUGUAGCUCUAUUCUGAUUAGCCUCAGUUCCGGUCUAAUAGAUAUAGUAAAGCAAGGCUUGGAGCCGCGGGUAUCAAGAUUGGAAGAAAGGCACGGCAGGAUAGCAAUCGAUCCUAGUAGUUAUGUUAAUAAAUUACUGUAUUAUUAGUUAACGGAAUACUUCAUUGAAUCAUUUUCUCAGAAAAUGCACAAGUAAUAAUACCAAGUGGAGCACUAAUAACGAGAUGCAGGAGAGGCUGACUCAACCAGGAGAUAUGAUAUGAUGGGAUCCGGAUCAGCAAUACAAGAGUCAAAGACAGAAAUAACAGAUUUAUGGGCAUGGUGAUUAUAAUAGGGGUUCGGGAAGGUUAGGCUCACUCUCAUUAGUAUUUGUAUAAGAGUCAAACAACAAAGCAAGUAUGCAGGGAAGUAGUGUUGUGAGGAUACCGGGCUAAAUGAACUAGUCCUGAGUAAGCUCUAAGACUAAUAGCGUAUAGUAAUAAUGGGCAAGCGGAUCAGAGAGGGCCAAGCAUUAAGGAAAGUGGUGGAAUUCUUUGUAUGUAUCUACCGUAAAGAGAGGGGAUAUCUAAGAUCUUAUCUUCCAAAGUUUCCUUUCAAUGAUAGGUGUAAGGUUACUCUAGUCAAUGAUGGGUGUAAGGUUACUCUAGUAUAGAACGGGUGUAAGGUUACUCUAGUAUAGAACGGGUGCUUGUGUUGAAACCUAACUGCUUCCUUCCAGCGAUUAGCUUUAACGGAGUUGUAUCUUAUCUUCCUUCUAGCUUUCACAGAGAGUUUCUAUUGGUGCCGAGUCGAGUGUUGUAGGAUUAGGCAGUUGAAGAGAGCGUUCAUCUUUGAGAAAUGAAUUCUUAACAAGAAGGGCGCCAACAUAGCUUGUCAAACUCACUUAUGGAAAAUGGAGUGCAUCAUCUAUUAUAGAAAUAUGGGAAACGACUACUAGAAUAAGAAUCAAGUCACCAAACUAGAAACUCCUCGCUCUUGCUUUAAGACUGGAGUGAAAAAGAAUAUGGGAGAGCGUUCCUGCUCUACCUAACAAAACUGUGCUAGCUCCACUUAAUAUGCAUGACAACUGAUAUAAGGGCGGAACCUUACUGCUUGUUAGCUUGUUUUUGCGCGGUUGCUUGUUCUCCUGACUCGUUGGAAGAGAAUGGAGCAUGACACAACAUAUAGAGAAAUAGUGACUCAACUGAUUGGUACUUUGAUUAUUGGCUUAUGAAGCGGUUAAGUAGAAAAGAAGGGGGAAAGCUAGUAAGUCUACUACCCUUGCCCGAGCUCACUAACGCACUUGCUUUGCUUGUUUAAGAUAGUGUGCAGGGAACUUAUAGAUUAAUAGUGACCAACCUGCUUACUGGAAAGUGGAAUCACUUAAAUCGGCACCGCUAUCUCUACAAUAGUACUGGAUUCUUGCCCUUGCUUGCUUGCUUUCUCAACAAUAAGAAAAGAAGAUAAUUGACUUGCUGGCUCUCUCAACAAUAAGAAAAGAAGACAAUUGUGCCACCCACCCACGCCAGAACUCCAAUAACCGUUAGCUCCACUCACUAACGCACAAACGGAACGUUGCUUGUUCCCCGCAACACCCAAUUGCUUCCUUUAAGAACGAAUAGAGGCACCCCGAAGUAAGCUCCCCGCUCUGCUACUGGAAACACUCUACUUUUGCCGCGCUGAGUCUUGUUCCGAGUCCACAAAGACUAUCAUUUCUUAUUGAUCGGUAAACUUUGAAUCCAACAACUCGAGAGUGGAUUCGGCUUCUAGAACUGGAACUGAGGCAGAUGCUGAUAUAUAAGUUGUUUUCGACCUUUACGUUUUCUCGUGUUUCCUCAUAACAGGAGCCAAAAGCAGGAAUUGUAAUGACUCGUAAUAGCUUGGCCUAUUGACUACCCUGUACAGGUGCUUUUCUCUCUAUUUACUACCUCGGACAGGACUAUCGGUUUCAUCACUCUUAUCUUAACCCCGAGUCGAAUCCUAUCAGUAAUCCUAUAAUAUGAUAUAUAAAGAUUAUGGAGGAGAAAAGUAGAAAAAGGGGAUGGAAAACUUCUAUGCUUAACACAAGCACUGAAUCCUAUGCUCUGUAAACCAAGACUCUCCUCUGGCUAUCAUCUAAUCUCACUCAAGCUACUAAUACAGAUGCAACAGGACCACUACACUACUGGUUGGGGCAGUAAACCUAGCUCCAUCCUCUAGCUACAACUACUAAUACAGAUGAAACCGAAACUCUCACCAUUAACAUAAGGGCUGGAACAGUAACAGGGCCAGCGACUACUACUACAACAACUCCGGUAUUUCACUAACCAAGCUACUAUACUAAUAGGAAUAAGGGAUACUAAAGAGAAGAGCCAAGUCACCACUUUCAUUCUCACUGCCCACCAGGUUGACGAACACAGUUAAGCUCCCGUUUUUAGCUCGCUACCGUUUCACUCCUACCGCGCCACGUUAGUAGUGGCUUGGUCAUUAGCAGUUCCUUGGUGGACUCAAAGGAAGGAAUUGUUAUAACAAGGUGACCAAUAGAUAUUUCCUAAGGUUGGUUUCUCUCCUGAGGCUUUCUUUGAAACUAUUAGUAUCAUUGAAUUGCUCACUUUUGGACAUGUGUGAAGUAGUCGAAACACAAAGCAUCUAUUCCUAUUGAUCACAGAAGAGUUAUAAGACAGGGUGUGUGUAUUAGGUCUCCUAUCUUACCCAUAUUCUUGCCUCAUUCUAGGAGUGAUAAGCAACGUUCGCAUCUUCUUGGGAGCUUCAUCUACUUUUCUUCUCCGUUCCAGAAAUGAUUUUAGUGCCUAUAAAACAGGGCAAUAACUCCCUUUAGCCAAUUACUGAAGGGCACAGGACUUGCUACUGAAAUAAGAAAGAGUUUCACAGAGGUUUGUAGACGAGAAAUCAUGGUUGACAGCCUUACCUUUACCUUAAUGCGCUUUACUUUCCCUUUACCCUUUAGUGGUCCAAGUCGAGUCGGUUCAGAUGCUUUGCUUGAUAAGGAGCAUAAGCAUAAGCCAGAUUAGAUUCCAAAGAAAGGGAAGCAGUUCAAUUCAAUGAAAAGGAAUGCUAAGCUGGUUCACUUGACAAAUAUUUCUAUACCAGAGCUCGCUAACACAUAAGUAUAAGCCCAUGUUUGUUCUUCUCAGCAACGGAAUAAGAAACUUUCGAGCGCUUACCACUGACUUUCGGGUUGGGAGCGAGUGAGUCCUGACUACAGGGAAGCUCUUUUGAGAUGAGGAUAUGACCAAUGAUUACCAAUCUUCCGACUAAAGUAAUAAGAGGAGUUCUACUUCACCUUAGAGAAAUAAGCCUUCUUUUCUUGCCUUCAAGGACGGAUAUACCCUAGACUGAGCACCCAAACCCAAAGAAAGAGACGAGACUGUAGUUUAUGAGUGGAAUACCCUUAAUUAGGAGUGGAAUCCCCAACCUGUUUAGUAGUCCUGUUUGUUGAAUCUGUAUUAGUUGACAGAGAAGAAUGAAGCGGGCCAGAAUACAGAACUUGAUAGCGUAUUCCCCUAUCUAAUGAAUUGAAUCUAAGGGAGAGAUCUAGCGCAUGCAGUAAUAGAUAUAGAAUUGGGUACGAUCUAGCGAGCAGGCCAUAAUACAUAACUGGUAGCGCAUCUGGUAGUUCAUAAGAAUGAAACCAAACUACUUGUAAGAAUGACACUAAAGCAUAAUCAUUAGAGCCAGAGUUAGAGGAGCCGAAGGAAGCAAGUAGUAAAUAGAGAAGUCGUUGCUAAGUAGUUGGCUUGGCCCCUAGGUUCGAAGUAGUUGCUAAGUAGUAGGCUUGGCCCCCGCAUCUAGUAUAAGUGGAAUGAUUUGUAUCAUCUGUGUUUGUAGUCGUUACUUGACCCACGAUGCUAUAGGGCUGUAGCUUGCCCGGGUAGCAAGUAGUAGAGGAGAGGUANNNNNNNNNNNNNNNNNNNNNNNNNNNNNNNNNNNNNNNNNNNNNNNNNNNNNNNNNNNNNNNNNNNNNNNNNNNNNNNNNNNNNNNNNNNNNNNNNNNNNNNNNNNNNNNNNNNNNNNNNNNNNNNNNNNNNNNNNNNNNNNNNNNNNNNNNNNNNNNNNNNNNNNNNNNNNNNNNNNNNNNNNNNNNNNNNNNNNNNNNNNNNNNNNNNNNNNNNNNNNNNNNNNNNNNNNNNNNNNNNNNNNNNNNNNNNNNNNNNNNNNNNNNNNNNNNNNNNNNNNNNNNNNNNNNNNNNNNNNNNNNNNNNNNNNNNNNNNNNNNNNNNNNNNNNNNNNNNNNNNNNNNNNNNNNNNNNNNNNNNNNNNNNNNNNNNNNNNNNNNNNNNNNNNNNNNNNNNNNNNNNNNNNNNNNNNNNNNNNNNNNNNNNNNNNNNNNNNNNNNNNNNNNNNNNNNNNNNNNNNNNUGCAGGUUUCUGAGUGGAAAUGAUGGAUUUCCCAUAAAACUAAAGACCAAGCAACUACUAGACAAACAACUAGUAAUGACCAAGCAACUAAGUAAGACGGGCAAGGCAAGUCACUUAUUCGCCAGUAAGUAGAAGGCUAUGAAGCAAUUUCAAGUGAGAAUGUCUCUAAGAGGUAAGCUAGUAGGAAAGUCAGAUAGAGUAAGUUGAUCCCUUAUUCUUAUUCUAGGUAUUGUUGACAGAGGAAUGGUUAGUUGACCAAGCCAGAGGUCAGAGGUCAGAUCCGGAUCGGGUACUAUUGCAACAGGGGUUCCGCCUCUACUUUCUUUCUUUAGAAAUAAGUCUACUUUCUUUCUUUAGAAAUAAGUCUACUUUCUUUCCUUAGAAAUAAGAAUAAUCAAAACGCGGAGGGCCAAGCAACGUAGUUAGUUGCGCGGCAGUCGAGUAACGAACGGGCCAAGACACUGGGCAAGGCCUAGAACACAACUUUCAUAAUCAACAAACUAAACAGUUUCUUUUGUUCUCUUACUUUCGAUGUCCCCUUAAGUAAUUGCAAGCAACUACCAAUGUAUAGCGGUAGGAGCUAUUGAGUUUAGCGUCAGUGAGCUAAAGUGCUAAAGGCGUGAAACUGUGUUCGUCAUAAAAAUGGGUGCUGUAGCUCCUAGUACUAGAGUAGGGGAAAUAAGAUCUUUGAUAUUACUGGCAAGGAAGCACGUAAGGGUGUUGCAAUACAAGAUAAGAGGCUAGAUCCGGAGCUGGCUCGUCUUAACCGAUGUUUGUAGUAGGAGUGAAAGGCUGACUUUUGUGGUUUCAUCCCCUUCAUGAGUAGUGGAAUGUAGUGGAAUGUUAUUAGUAGUGGAAUGUUGUAGUGGAAUGAUUUCCUAUUGUAUGCCGCUGCUUGCCCAAUUGCAUCUUUACUACCUAUGGCAACAGGCUCCAAUUCUGAAUUUCAUCUUUCUUGCGCUGAGUCAAAUCAAUACUUGUUGCUAAGGCAGCUAACUUACUUAAAUGCAGAAUAUGGGUCAGUAGACUAAACUCUAACUGCAGCCCUAUUAAUAAGGUUUCCUGUCACUCGAAACAAGACUUUCAGCGGGAAGUUCAUUGCCUGUUCUAGUUUACAGUGAAGUCGAUGAAGAAAUAGAUGUUCUAGUGAAUAAGCAAUGUUGCUACAGUUCUAGGAGAAGAAGCCCUAGAAUUGCCAGUAAUUGUUUCAUCCUAUAUAGAAGCUGCGCGAGUGUGGCUAAUUCUUUAUUAGAUCAGUUGGGGAGAAUGGAAUACCGGAGUCUGUUUCUUCACCAGGUGUUAAAGCCUAUAACUCUCCAUCCGGGUCAAGUACUGGCUUUUCAGCGGGGCCAAGCAACGACUACAAAAGCAUAGAAAGUCAUAAACUCAUAAGUCAGGAUACCCCGGCUUCAAUGCAAGAAACAAGGGCACAGCUUUUAGGUCAGUAAGGGAAGGCUCCAGAUUAGUAGCUGCAGAACCAAGAUAUGGAUUGGCAGAAUUAGAUAAAGGAGUGGCACGCUAUGACAAAAGAAAGGCGGGCUCAUGCACCGUAAAGCAAGGGUCGAAGUAAGCUGCUACAGACUGAAGGCAUGGUAGGCAGGUAUCGUAUUUGAAUUAAGUAAAGGGAGACUAUAACUAGGGCGAGGCUCACAGGCUGCGGUGAUAUCCGUAAAAUCAAAAGCCAGGCAUUAAGGCUGUAAGGGAAUACUCAUAGCGGGGAGGGGAAGAGCACCAGCUCCAUUCUUCUUUUUAGGGGUUUUCCGUUUGGUAGUUCUAAUCCAAUCCAGUAUAGAUAUAUACUCUGAGUUAAGAGCAAGAGGCUUGGAGACAGUUAAGUAAGCCCGGGCCCUUAGCAUAGGUAUUUGUAGUAUUGGCUCAAGUCUGACUGGGGUGAUUUUAGGCAGUAGUGCAUUCCCGGUGUGAGUUAAGGUCCCAUACGCCUGGUUUACACUCUUGUUAUCAAUAGUCAAAUUCUAGUUUACACUCUUGUUAUCAAUAGUCAAAUUAUAGAUCCCCAGUUGCUUUCUUGUUAGUGGUUGGAUAUGAGUUCGGUCCCUCGUUUGGAGUUGAAUUACCUAUAUGGAGUGAAAAAACGAGAAGUACCUGUGCUAUGCCUUCCAGUAGUAUGGUGGAUUCCCUACUAUAGGAGAAAGGAUAAGAAGCACUAGUUACAGGCCAAAAGCAAGGAUAUUAGAAUAGAAGCAAGGCCGAGAGACAGGCAAAUCAGACUUCAAAGAAAGGUAGACAGGCUCCUAGGCGUAAGUUAUAUUCUUUAUUAUCAGGUUUAAAGCAUUGUUAGCACUAGCGGAAGUCCGAGUUUCCAGCUUAAAUACUAUCAUUAGUUGUUGGUUUAUUUAACUAGCAAGCGAGGACCCGACUCCGGGGUUACAGCCUUAAAGGGGUAUAUUGAUUGGAAGAAUGAGUGAGGUAAGAAAGGAAGGCAGGAGCAGUGGUUUGGUAUUUAGCAUUGGAAGAAUCGGAAGGGAGAAGCUGGCUUCAAACAAUGAGUCGAAUAAUAAGAGAAAGGAGUAUCAGAAUGAGCUCCUAGGUAAAUGAAAAACAGAGGCAUUGCUGCUGCAACUAAAGAACGAAACUGGCACAUUCACAAGAGAAAUACUCCUUAUAGGGCUGACUACCCUACACUGAAACUCAGGCUUUCCUCGAUCGAAUUUGCAUCCUUCAAAUAAAUACUGGCAUUCCAGAGUUCGGCUCUAAGUCCCUGGAGGCCUAACGAGCUAGUAUGUCUCUAAGGAAAUGGAUUCUAAUACUCCCGGGGGGCCCGAUCAAUCUGUAGCUCACCGCUCACUCUUUGACUUACCUAUUCCAUUAUGUAUUCCCUUGAAGAGAUGCCAGGACCAAGACCUGAAACAAAGGCAAGCAAAUACUAGCUAUUAGGAUCGAACUCGGGCAUAGGAGAGGGCCUACCGAUACCUUAGAAGUGUUGCUUCCGAGCCGACACUCAAACCUUGCUUUACUGGGCACCUAAGCUUACUUACUGCUCCAUCGUUCUUUUACUACUCGAUCUCAGGUUGACUUCCAGGGAUCUUAUAUCCUCCUUAUUGCACCUAGGAUUCUUCUAACGCAAACUAACACUUCCCUGUAUAAAGAAGUAUGCCAACCCUUGCUGUCACUCUUUAACUACUUACUUGCUUUCUGGGUUUCUCACCUGUUAUAGCCUUCCCUGACUCGCGGAAAAUCUUAUAUCCACGACUGGAAGAGUGAGAGGAGCCAUUCCAUUCUCUAUUAGCUAUCAAAAAACGAAGUACCAAUUACACGGAUGAAAAGGUGUCUGCCCUGUCUCGGAGUAAUAGUCAGAAAUCUUCAUUAGUUUACAGAGGUACAGUAAAUGAAGUGAGAGGAGCGGUCUCAGAUCCUACUGAAGUUAUCAAAGAUGAAAUCCUAUCUCCCCUGCAAACAAGCUACUACUAAGUCCUGUGCCACUUAUAUAUCUGCAGCCUCUCUUAUCUUGUACUAAACUACUAGUUGGUGCUGUAAACUUUAAUAAGUAUUUGUUGGCCAUAAGAGAAGAGAUCCGAAUGAAUUGUUGCUAUCAAUAAGAGAAGAGAUCCGAAUUCUGUUAAUAGUUUGAAGCAGGGAGCUUAGAAUUACCUGGAAAGCUGGGCCCUUACUAUUAAUUGUGAGUUAGGUCUACAACCACUCCUAUAUAAGAUUGAAUGAAAGUUAGCCAAGAUAGAAUGCAAGUUUGACAGAGGAGAGGCGCAGGAGGUCUAUUCUGACUUAUGAGUUGAGAGCACUCGGGUAGCAAGAAAUAAGUCAAAUACUGGUUGGUUAAGAGCACUGCACGGCGGUUGGUUAUCAACAUCUAUUAUAGGCGAGGAGGGGGAAUCACUCUCAUUCUUCUUUUUCUGGACUUGGAGUUGAGAGAAACCAGCACUAGGUUUGCAGUCAAGCACAAUUCUGAAUUUAGAUAGAGGGCACAGUGAGUGACCUUAAUCUAUUAUACCCCACUCCGGCUAAUGAUUAUGUUUCUUCCGUUCAAGUUCCAUUCUCUCUUUUUGUGUUGGGAGUUCCACUCUUACUUUCUAUCCUUCUUUCGAGUCCAACACGAGUCAAACCCAACAACUAAUACUUUUCACGCGUUAGGAGAGUUCUUUGACUACUUGUACCAUAACUCUGGAAAGGCGUUUCACCCAGGACUUGCGCAUGGCCUACUUAUGAAUUCCUAACUCCUAACUCAACUCGCUUGUGACUUAUUCUUUCGAAAACCCCAAUACUGGAAUUUCCAUUAGCGCCCAAAACGAAACAAGCAAUGGAACAAACAAAGAAGUAAGAACUGGAACUGGAACUUUACUUCAAUGAAACUACUCCGAAGCGAAAGCAUCCUAACAUUAACGACUUGGCCCACUACAUGGCGUUGGGGCAUUUCACAGGACAAUGCGUAACUCCCGAAAACUGUCAUUGAUUAUAGUGAGCAUCAGAUUUGUCCCCUGCCUUGGAUCUUGAACUAUAAUUGUAAAGAACUCCUGGUUGCGCAACUCUAAACUACGGUUGACUCUCCUCUAUAUGAUGUGUGCACUUCUAUUUCUUUGAUUCCAUUAUUAAAGCAACAGCUCUCGCUAGGGCAAAAGAACAAGUAGAUGCCUACAGAACAAGCAAAUAAUUAGGACCCAGGCAAGGGAAUAAACUAGGGCUUAUGGAACUACACGAAACAACUGAAGUACAGAAGAGCUCUUGCUUUAAGAGACUUUCCAGAAGUACUACUUGACUUGGAUUGGACCCCAGUAAAGGUGUUAGAUGUGUUUUCCCUUCCCUUCUUUCUUUAAGGUGUGGUUUUCCCUGAUUGAUUUCUUUCUUGCUGACUUUUGAGUUGACUUACCUUAUCUGUUUCCGGAUUGAAAUGAUGGAUGUUCUACAUUAGUUUAGUACUAAGAAGAGGGCGUUGAAGCGAGAGGAGAAGCAAACAGUUCCGUGUAAUAAUCAGACAUUCCCCCAUGAAAAUCAAUAUAGAAAUAAAUAAAAGAAAUCCAUAUAGAUAUAAUAUGAUAUAAUAUGCACGCACAAGAGAUAGAGAAAAUGCAUUCUUCAGAGAGUCCAGGCCCAACAGAAGAAUAAGAGAAUGCCAAAGAAGCUGUUCGAGAAUCCGUAGUGAGAAAGUCACCACCAAGCGCAUCCGUCCUGAAUACGAGCUCUGUUCCAGUUGACAAGGAACAUUGCGAAAGAAGAAUAAGUCACGGCUUUAGCUCUACACUAAGCCUACGAAGGUGUCGCUCUAGCUCUCAGUAAUGACCAGAAUGGCCUGUUCCUGUAGUGGUAGCCUCUCUAACGAAACUUCUUAUCUGUGUUUCUUCAGCUACUGUUAGCAGAACUCCCUAUCGCUACAAAGCUCCUAACGCCAUGCGCGUACCCGAUCCCGCUCCUUAUUCUUCUUCUUAUAAUGAUCUUUCUUCUUUUCUUCUCCGAACUCUACCUUUCCCGCGGGCAACUUACUUGCUUACAGCUGAUUCUGUUGCCGUAGAGUUAUAUGGAGAAGUUAUUGUUUCACUUACAUUAGAUAGAGUGGGGUAAUCAAAUAGAUAGGUAGCAGAACCAGCAAGCUCAAGUGCUUCUGUCCUGAAGUAGCCUUCUGUUCGAGGUAAAGUAUCAAGUGUAGUAUCAACGGAUUUCCAUCCCUACAGCACUUGUUCAGUUUGCGCCCUAAGAGUGACUCUUACCCUUAGCACAAGGGCGACUACAAAUGAGAUCAUUGGCUACAUUAGCAAGAGAGCGAGCGGGCGUUGAAGCGCAAAGUUCAUGAGUUUUUCUAAGAAGCAGUUAUGAGAAGAAAGAAACAGUUAAGGCCGACUACACUCCGUUAGCUAGUUACGAAAGGAAAGGUUCGGAAAGACUAAGUGAAGUGAAAGAGCUGGAGGUCUAACAAACAGAAAGCGAAAGCUUGAAUAGUGUAUUGGUUAGCACCCCGAUGGUUGCCUUUUAGCGUAUACAGACCCAUGUUCUUAGUAGCCCACUAUGCGGUAUACAACUUAUUAGGUUUAGGCACACUAGUAUGAUAAAGAAUACCAAGGAAGGCAGUUUCAGUGGAAUGAUAAGACAGUUGGUUCAGAUAUCUCUGUUCCACUUUGAUAGUGAAGUUCUUUUUUCCACUCUGUCGGUUAAGGCGCUUGUCAGGAAAUAUUAGAAGUAUAAGAGGGAAGCAGCAAGCAAGAAGGAAAUAACACUUUUGAAUCGUACUAUUAAGAAGCCAAGCCGAGAUGAAGUAGUGAAGCUUUCAUUGAAGAAUGGAAUGGAACUGCUGCUGAAGCCGUAUAAAGAGAACGAUCUGAAGCCGAAACAAGAUAAGGAGAAGAAGCGGUUAGAAAGUAUGCUUAUGAAUUACCUGUUUAAGUGGAAUCGUAGUAUAAGUAAGCCGAAUGCUAAUCUACUGAAGCGGAGGAAAAUCGAGAAGUUCUGUUGCAGCAAGCGGGUCUGGGUCUGUUCCAGAAGUAGAAGAGAAUGCCCACGCCACUACUGCUUUCCCUAGAGCGCUUUCUUAUCUAUAGGAGCAAGACAUGUUGCAGCUAACGUUAGGGCAGACUUAGAGUAAAGAUAGGUUGGUUCCGGGGUUAACACUUAUUGGAGUGGAAGGCGAGGACAUAGGCAAGAGGCACUGUUAUCUACUACCGGGAGACUGGGCAACUACUACAAAGGCACAGAAAGUCAAUUGUACUUAUUGGUUUCAGUCUGACUUGAACCCUGAAACUAUAUUAUGAAAUAAGGAAAGAGCAACCAAGCAGACAGAAUAGUCAGUAUAAGAAUGGGAAGGAACUCUCAACAUAAUUGGUAUUGGUCCGGUACCUUGACCAAGUCCUAUGUUCGAGCGUCAGAGUUAGUGGCUCCCAGACUACUAUAAUAGCAGCCAAUAACGGAUCUUGUCUACUUUGCACUUGCUGCUGACUCAGUUGAUGCGGCUUAUGCGCAAGAAAGAAUGAUUUCAUUUCAUUUUAAGACAUAGCUCGGAAGGGACUCUCAAUCGGGUGUUCAAGUAUCUCGGAAGGGUGAACAAAGGACUAAAAAACAGGUUAACAAAGGACUCGUUUAUAACUAGUUAGAACCAACCUCGUAUGUGCUCCCUCUAAGAAUUGAGUUUGAUACUUCCUAGGCCUUGUUGCGAAGGUUUCUAAUGGUUACUUGCCUUACAGAGUUACCUUAUACUAACUGCCUUUUAGCUUAUAACCUUAUAGCUUAUAAGUAAUUAACUGCUUCCUCGCCUCUCCUCUGUCUCUUAACUACUCUCCUAUUGCCCCAACUCUACUACUAGGAGAUACAGCACCAACACAAUACUUUAUCACUCCCCAGUUGCAGAAGCACCCAAAGACACUCUGUUUGAAGAGCCAAGCAACUCGCAACUACCAAAUAUUUAAGUAGAGGCCGAACAAGACUCUGUCCUUAAUACAUAGCUCAUUCUGAUGUUUCCCCGGAAUCAGUGAAAUUGGAACUUUACUACUUUAGGCUUAGGCUCCUCUCUGGCUCUGUGAACUCGGUCUUCAACAAGAAAGUAGGCAAGUAAAGAAUCCAACUAGUAAGUUGAAGAAUCAAGUACUUGCCUUGAAGCCAUUAGUGUUCGUUACUGCCGCGUAACCGCUAACUGCUAUCAUAAUACCACUAAUACGGAUAAAAGACUCUUACCUAUGAUAAGGAAUGACCCCGAGGCAUUAAUAGGAUGUCAACCGCCACCAAGAGAUAGGAUGUAAACCAGCUUAGCUCGAGUGCCGGGCUCGCUCCUACUACUCCGCCCAGCAAGCACACGUUAUUUUGAGCAUUAGUAAGAGGCUAUAGCGCAUCUAGUAAUAGACUAAUUGCCUAACCACAGGAGCAACCAGUGCCCGCCGACAAUCGAACAUAGGAAACAAACACCGGGCAAGCAACUACUAACGACCAAGCAACGGCUAGUUAUGGCUACGAUCUAGCGCAUAGGGAAAGUCGAAGGUAGAAGUAGAAGACGGGUACGAUCUAGUAAUGAUAUAGCAAGUA
rnacentral:lncRNA from 1 species